rnacentral:lncRNA from 1 species
CUACUGCACACAAGUUACAACCUGUGCAUUUUCCUCGUUUUGGCCUUGUCCAAAUUUCUGGCAGGAAUGGCAAUGGGGUAGGAGGGUUGGAGCUUAACCCGCAAAAUUUCAAACCGCACCAUCCCGCAUAGCAGUUUUUUCUUUCUAUUUUCGCCCCGCCCCGCAUUUUUUUCUUCAUUUUGUUAUUUUUGCUAAUAAUGGCUUGCCUUAUUUUGUACGGUCUAUAGUGAUUUCCGUGGAGUAAACCCGCAACCGACCCUACCCACAUUAGAUUUUGAAAAAACAAUUUCAACCCGCCCCGCAACCGUCCCGCAUAAGAUCAAAACCGCCCUGCACCCUAUCCGCCCCAUUGCCAUCACUAAUUUCUGGUAUUGUUUUCUUAUUCCAGUCCAGUUCCUUGUGUUUUAAGCCUUGGUAUCCUUUCUGAUAAAUCCACUGAAGUAAAAAGAAACCUUGAUUUUUCUGCUAGGUUAAAUUCCUUUUUAUAGAUUUUAGAGGCCAAUUACAUUUCAUCGUGGAAUUUUGUAGAAUUUCUUGCUAACCAUUUUACCAUGUCUACACCAAAUAAACUGUCUGGCUUGAAAGAAACAAUAGAAUGUUUGAAGGCACAUUGAGCAAUAUUCACAGCCUUAAACAGAGAUGUAUUUUUUUGUUAGCUUUUUGGUGCAAUCUGGUAAUUGAUCAUGAUGUAGAUGGAAUGCUAGAUACAAUAGAGGGUUUGCACAACCUGUAAUUAUGCCUGAUGCACUGGCUUAGUGCAUAAAUUUAUAAUAUAUUUAAUUACUUAUCAAAAAAAAAAAAUGUCUACACCAAAUAAGCUGCAUGCUUGUAGUAAUUUUUCUUCCUUUUUGUUCCUGAAACCACAUUGCCCGGUUGUAAAUGCUCAUUAGAAGGGGAAGGAAUCACAAUAGUCUUCCUCAUAAACUCAACAACCUCCACGACAAAUUGUAUGCAGAAGAGGAAUGGAAAAAUCAAUGGUCUUUUACCUUUCCUAAGAGGAAAAGUCACUCCUAUUAGGUUUUUAAGUUCUAACAAACCGAGGAAUUUGUAAAAGCUUUCAUUUUGGAGGAAAACUCUGCCUGUCGGAGCGUCACAAAGCAGAGGCGAUAUCGAGCUGAAAUAAAGUAGAAGGACAGCAGUAGGUUAACGGACAGCGUAAAAGUUAGUCUAGGUUUAAUGAAUCCUUUGAACCGAAUAGGCGCAAUGUACUCAAAAGGAUUCAUAUAUCUGUGCCUAACUAGUCUUGUAACUGAGUCAUAGUUGGUUUUAUUUUACCUUGAAGGAAACUUUAGCUUUCAAAAGGGAAGAAGCUAAAGAGAAAGUAGUCGGGAUAUCAGCAUGCGUUAGAAGGAUAAAUAGGAAUUGCAGGAGAAAUUACUUAGUCCCAUGUUAUUUCUAUCUCUUUAAAAAAAAGUGCUUAAGUUAGAGCUCAGUUACUCUCACAUUCAUUAUUCAUGUGCCAAUCUUGCCUGCCAAUUAAACUUCUUUUUAUAUUCCUCCUUCACAUUGUAUUGCUCAUAUUCUCAUCUCUUGUGAGUGCAUAUGCCUAAGUUAAACAAUUUUGCGUAGAUGUUUCCAGAUGCAGCUUUUCGCUAUCUAUCUAUCUUUCCCAAUCUUCAAACUCUUAUAGUUACCUUUGGCAAAGUCAGCUUAAUGAGGGUGCUACACUGCAUGUUGUUGGUAUUGUCCUGCGUGUGCAGUCUCACCCCCGAAGAGCAGAUAAUAACUUCCUUGGGCUAGACGUAACCGAGUGCAUUGUAGUUUCAAACAAAAUAUUUAACAUCCUGUAUCACUAUGAUAAUCAGUCAAGGUUGGUAAAAAGCAAAGGUCUCCACCAACAACAACUACACCGCAGUCCAAAACAACUCGGGGUCGGCUAGAUAAAUCUUCACUGAUGUCAUCAUCACACCAAAUAAAACUAGAAGUGAGAAAUAAGUUAAAUAAAUAAUAUCUAAAGUUAUAAGCCCCACAUGUGGGAAUAUAUUGGGUUUUUUGUUGUUGUUUGAUAAGUUAAAGUUCUCUAUAUUACUCGCAUAUGAAUCUUUCAUAAGGUCAAAAUACUCUUAGAAUAGCAGUAGGUUCAAAAUUAACGUACUAACAAGACUAAAACCUAUUCCCAACUAGUAGAUAUCAUCUAAAUGGAUCUUUUUCGUCCAUUGUGUCCUAUCUUUAGCUAAGUCUGCAUUGAUUACAUGAAAUUGUAGAUAUAUUGAGACAACUCCUUCCAUGUGACUUUAGAUUUAUCUAGUUUCCUUUUAACGCCUUCACUCAGUAGUUUCACACGUACGAGCCAAGGUCGACGCAUGACAUGACCAAACCAUCUCAAGGAGAAGUCUCCAUGCCUUUGGUAUCUAAUAACCGAUGAACCAAAAUGCUGAAGUAGUUUUUCACCUUAUAACAAUUAGAUAGUACAACACAACAACAACAACCUAGUAUAAUCCCACUUAGUGGUGUCUGGGGAGGGUAAUGUGUACGCAGACCUUACCCCUACCCUUGGGUAGUGAGGCUGUUUCCAAAUAGACCCCCGGCAUCCUUCCCUCCAAGAGCUUCCCAUCUUGCUCUUGGGGAGACUCGAACUCACAACCUCUAUGUUCAAAACAAAAGAUACCAAGUCUCAAAAUAAUAAUAGAAAAUCCGUGCUCAACAUGGACUGAAAUACUACACAAGAGAGUGUCUGCUAGUCCCCAAAAACGGUUGGAAGUGGGGGUUGCUUACCAUCAGAGCAACCCCUCUGCUCAUCACCACAUGCCAAUUUUCUGUUCAUCUUUGUGAUUGUUUUACUUAGUCGAAUUGUGAAGCAUGCAAUAACCAGUGUUACUAAUAGCAGUUUGGCGAAGCCUUUGAGAAGCGAAAAGCAUUUUUUUUUGCCAAAAAAGCACUUCUUUGGAGAUUUAAGGUGUUUGGCCAACAAGAAAAAGUAUUUUUAGGUAGCAGCUAAAAUUGAGAAAGAAGCUACAAGUUUAUGCUUCUUAAGCAGAAGUAGAAAAUUAAUUUUUUCAAGAUAAAAUAUCCUUAUAAAAAAAUUGUAUUUACCAAACUAUCCCUCAUAACAUUAACCCAUCUAUCUCUAUAAUAUAAAUACAACCAUCUUCUUCUCCUUCUUUUUUUGGUUACUAUAUUUAUAUUGAUUCAAAACUUCAACAUAUAUAUUUUAAUUUUAUGACUUAUAUUUUAAUUAUAUAAAAUAAAUAUUUAAUUGACGUCUUUCAUAAUAGUAUUUAAAUCAUUUUUAUUAAAUAAUAUUAGUUUUAAAAUGGAUUUUUUGUAAUUUGGCACUCAAAAGAAUUAUUUGGAAAAAUUGAUUAAACACAAUAUGUUUAUCAAGUAUUGAACAAAGUACUUCUCGAAUAAAUUGGCCAAACACAAGUACUUGGCAAAUAUUUCUCAUAUGUUGACAAAAGUGCUUCUCAAAGUAAACAAUUUCUGGGAGUUUGACCAAACAGGCUCUAAAAGCCAUGAUGUUAAGCGCUUUAUCACUUAACGCAAUGAAGUUGUGCGAAGCCAGGGCUUAUUGAUUAAAGCGAUAAAUGGUAUACUAAGAGUUAUGCUGCCUUUUCAAUUGCUCUACUUUGAUGGAUUUUCAACGUCAAUUCUCUGGUAUCAUUUCUUAAGGGAAGCUGCAGGUGGGGUUUGCUAUUCACCAUUGUCAAAAAAUGAAACAAGAUAAGCUGAAACCUUGUUGCUGCCUUUGCUAAGUUUUUAUCUUAACACCCCCCAUGACUAGUUCUCUUUUAGUUAAAUUUCAAAUUCUGUAGCCGUAUGAAUAUCCAGAUUGGACCCGACAUACUUGUUAGUGGGUUUCUUCAGCCAGUUCCAGACCUGACACCUACUAUUCCAUCGGUAGAAGAAACUUCGGCCAUUGAUCCUACCAUUUCUCCUUUUGAAUCAAGCAUCAUAUUCUUUUACAAGACAUGGGAUCCAUAUGGUGGCUUCUCAAACUUCUCUCUCCAUCCAUUUCAAAUGCCUAAUGAAAAUGGAGAACUUGUCACCUGGUGCAGUGUAGAGCAUUAUUACCAGGUCAUUUUCUUGAAAAACAUAAAGACAAGACUUUAUUAUUUGCAGCACCUUUCAGACAUUUGAUAACUAGUUCUUUGAUUGCAGGCACAAAAGUUUGUUGGGGCAUCUGAUCUUGUAGCUAAAAGCUGUGUGGAAGAAAUACAAUGUGCAAAGAGCCCUGAGGAAGCAGCACGAAUAGGAAGGAGAAUACAGAGGCAGCAACCUAAUCUGGUAUUCUUUACAUUCUUCUUAAAACAUAUUCCUAUUGCUUCUCCAUAUACUAUCAUUUUCCCCGUAAUUCUUUCUUUCUAGGCUGCUUGUUCAUGUGUUCCUUUCUUACAACAUACUCCUAUUGCUUCUCCAUAUACUAUCAUUUUCCCAAUUCUUUCUUUCUAGGCUGCUUUAUUCAUGUGUUCCAGAAAGCAUAAGCAUGCCACUUCAAACUAACAACAUGAUCAGUUGUAUUGUAAAUACUUGGCCAAAAAUUGUGUGAGGUCAGAAGCUACCUACCCACUAUUAGAUAGUAUCUCCAAAGUGGCUUACUGAGCCAAAAUAAAUAUUUAAACUCAACAGAAAGUGUUAUGUUUGUAACUACGAGGCAAUGCCAUUCAGGCGUACAAUGAAGUUUUAUAAAAUAAAAAAAGGAGUUUUGGAAAGAUCGCUGGCAGAGCAGAUCCUCAGUAGUACUGGUGUGCUAUCCACAAUCCCAGGAUCUGGGAUGCAGUAGGUCAGAUUCUGGAGAAAGAUGCUUCAAAAAAGUAGUGAUGGUGGCAGUACUAUGCAGAGGACAAUUUGGAACUUGGAAGUAUUGCCAGUGUGCAAUGAAGAGUCGUAGUUCAGUAGCAAACAUUACCUUGGGAUUCCACAUUUUAAAGUUUUUAAGAGUUGUGUUUCUGAAUCCCUUUUCUAUUUCGACCAUGUUUAAGAAAUUUGGACAUGGAUGAUCCAUCUUAAUUCUUUCUGGCGCAAGAAAUACUUGGUCUUUACGAUUUAGGUUAUUGGUUUGCACCAUACUCUUUUUUGCUUCAUCCCAAUGGGACAUUUUAUCCAUGUAUUAAUGGUCCGUACUGUAUAAUGCACUUAAGCUCUAACUUCUGUUCAUUCCCCUCUUCUUCCUGUGUAUUCCAGGUAAGACCAGACUGGGAAUCUGUCAAGGUUGACGCCAUGUACAAGGCCAUAAAAUGCAAGUUCACGACAUACCCCUAUUUAAAGUCUUUGUUGCUCUCAACUGCGGGCUCUGUUCUUGUGGAGGGUUCACCACAUGAUCUAUUCUGGGGAGGAGGUCGAGACGGAGAAGGCCUAAACUAUCUUGGAAGGUUGCUGAUGAAGUUGAGAUCAGAGUUCCUAGGUGACUCUUCAACAAAUCAAAAUUCUUUGCUUCAUCAAAAAUCAGAAAAUAAAUAGUGAAAUUUCCAUCCUAGCAGUGUUACGCUAAUGUUGUAAUCUAGCAAGAAAAGUGAUCAUUCUGAUCAUCGUUUAUUUAUGUACUUUUUAUGUAUCCUUGAGAAUCGUUUCAUUCUUGCGCAUAGACAAAGCUCCUACAGUUGGUCCUAUUCGUGUGUAAUAAAUCCCAUUUUGGUUCUCGUGGAACAUUAGCUAAGUUUUACCUUAGCUUUAUUUGAGUUUAUGGCUCAAUAACGUAAUAAGAGGAUGAGUAUUGAGUAUUUUUUGCUCCUUUGAGAAACUUUGGAAUUUGAGGUUGUAAAUAUUUUAAGUAAUAUGCUGAUACUUACUAAUUUUACCUUUUAAAGAAGUCUUAGUGUAAUUGCACCACAAUAAUGCAAGUUAAAGCAAAUAUGCAUUUUUGGAAUUCACGCGAGGGAACUGAUAUUUUAAUUUGAAGGUAUGCUUAUCCAUGCCCUAUUUAAAUAUUUAAGAAAAAGAACAAAGACUUGACUGGACAGUAUUCACGAGCAGAUGACAAGCAUGAGUGAAGAAGGGUCUUAUGUUACCAUUUUUGGUGGUAAAGAAGAUGUUCUUGUUCUUCCAUUCCCCAAACCCACUUCAGCGAGCAGAUGACAAGCAUGAGUGAAGAAGGGUCUUAUGUUACCAUUUUUGGUGGUAAAGAUGUUCUUGUUCUUCCAUUCCCCAAACUCACCUCAGCUUUCAAGAUUGGGUUGGUGUUCCGAUCGGUACCACUCCAACUGGCUUGGCUGGAAGGGGCUAUAGAAGGACCUAAUUGAGAUCACACUUCUUUUGGCCUGGAGAGGAGUCUGACGUACUUCCAACACUCAGAGAAUGCUUAAGAACUGGCCAGCAAACAAAGAGAUCUGAUGCUAAAAUGCGGAAGGAAAAGGAAACAAUGGAGGGAUCCAAAUCGAACCUAAAUGGGGAAUGACAUGAAAAGUCUUUUUCAAAACCUAGCAUUAAGGGCUGAAUCUAUUAUAGGGUAGGCUCUUUGGAUAGAUUGACUUAAGGCGAUGAAGGCAUACAUAUUUCAAAUCUCGGCUCCCCUCAAGGAAAAAGCGGGAUACUUAGCUGAAAGGGUGAACAAGGCCGAGCGCCUUCAAAGGUUGCUCCAGUCGCCUGAAGCCUUGUGGAUUGAUUGUGGGGGAUUUAGGCGUGUCACACCAACCAUCUUCCAGUUCAUGGAUAAUCAAUCCCGGAUAAUGCUUGCCGCAGGGGCUAACCCGAUCUUCGCGCAUACUUCCUUGGUUGUCUGGGAGUUGAAUCAGAAGCAUCGAAUGAAAGGUUCUUUCCAAGACCAUCUGCUAUUGAAUCAGCUGCUGUUGCCGGGCGUGAUUCUAUCUUUUCCUUGUAGUCCAUGGGUGUAUGAUCGGAAUCGAAUUCCGAGGUCCCUAGCCCGAGUAAUGAAUUUUUAUGUGAAAUAGUUAAUUUUAAGUUUUAAAGAAUGAAAUAAACUAAGUAUUCAUUGAUUUCCUAGGUAUCGGACUGGGAUUUUGGUUCCGAAUCAUGGUACAUGUCCGAAAUGUCAGUUAAGACUCACCCGUAAAAUUUUGCGUCAAUACGAGUAGUUUAAGGGCGUUUUGACCCGUUAGAACGGGGUAGCCCAUUCCUUGGAUGGAUCAUAACUUAUCCAAAGGAUAGUCCAUGUAAGAAGGACCAAAGCGCACUGAAAAAACCUACCGAUUCUUGCCAGUCAUAACAACCAGAACGGGUUAGCCGUUGUUUUCCCCAUUGGCGAAGUCAUAAGUUGUGGUGAAUCCGUAUUGCUACUAUAAAGUAUUUUCCAUAGUUCAAUAGAGAAAAGAGAGAAGAGCAGGCCGAUUUCUUUAUUAUCCAUCGUACUAAACCAAAAAAUGCCCUUGUUAAAGCCUAGGUAAGGGGUUACUUUAUGGUAUUAUCCCAUUCACUUUUCAUUUCGUGAAAGGCAAAUUAAGUGAACUUGAUUAAAAGCUUGAUCCAAUUCUCUAUCCAAUUAUGUAGUUCGAAUCCAUACUACAAUCUUAUGUUCUGUGAAAUUAAACCUAAUAAAAGCAAACUGGAACACUAUUCAGCCUAAUUUGUGUGACACAAGAAUUAAGCUUUGAUGGAAAAUGUCAAAUAUUGGAUGAUAAGAAAAAUAAUUGUGGGGUCCAGCCCCUUAAUUUAAGGAAAAAGUUUUCUUCCUUGCUUCACUUUCAAUAUAGGCAGCAGCAGCCCACGUUUUCUUUGUUUGUCAAAGAAAGUAGGCUGCAGAACAUUGAAAAUAUCAAGUUUGGGAGGAUUGUUUUUAUCAUCAAUCUCAGAGGAAAAUAUAUCUGAGAGCUAGAAAGAAAGAGUGAGGUUUCACAGACAGGGUAUAAGAAAAUAGUCUCUGAAGAAAAUAGAGAGUGUGAGCGAUAUUGUAGUGAGGUGAAAUAUCAAAAAAGGGUAAUUUCUUGAAGAAGUCAGGAGCCUGCAUGUAGAAUGAAGGAGAAAUUAUGGACCAAAUUCCAAGAGGAUCCUCAGCGGAUUUUCGAGAUGCAAGAACAACUCCGAUAGAUUAUCGACCAGGUUCCAAGAUGGUCUGACGAACGUAAAGUGGGGAAGGAAGAAAAGGGAAAUUCAUCCCCAGCAAAAUAAUCCCCGGCAAGUUGUGAUAAUGUAAUGAAACACAGAGCGGGGACGGAAGAAAAAGAAAAACCAUCCCUAGCAGGAACAUCAUCCACGGCAAAUAAUACCAUCCCGACAAGCUUUGGAAGCGCAGAGCAGGGAAAAGGGAAAGGGAAAAACAAUCCACAGCAGGAGUGGCACGACCACUCACCACAUUUUAAACUAACAAUUUUUUCUUUGAUUUGAAGUAGGGAAAGUAAAUGUUACUAGUGGCGGAAAGUCAUGUCACAAAGAGGAUCACCAAAACUGGGGCAGAAUAUUUUCUACCAUUAUUGAAAAUUUUCUCGGAGGAACGGGAAAACCAAUUCAAGUUAGAAGGGAAAGCAAUUUCGAAGGAAUGGAGAAGUCAGGAGCCCGCCUAUAGAAUGUAGGUUGUUAAAUUUUAAGUUAUUGAAGAAGUCAAGAGCCCGCCUGUAGAAUGGAGGUUGUUAAAUUUUAAGUUAUUGAAGAAGUCAGGAGCCCACAUGUAUAAUGAAGAUUUUUAUAUUUUAAAUUGAAGGAGUCAGGAGCCCGCCUGUAGAAUGGAGGUUGUUAAAUUUUAAGUUAUUGAAGAGGUCAGGAGCCCGCCUGUAGAAUGGAAGUUGUUAAAUUAUAAGUUAUUGAAGCAGUCAAGAACCCGCCUGUAUAAUUGAGGUUUUUAUAUUUUAAAUUGAAGGAGUCAGGAGCCCGCCUAUAGACUGUAGGUUUUUAUAUUUUAAGUUGAAGAAGUCCAGAGCCCGCCUAUAGAAUGAAGGUUUUUAUAUUUUAAGUUGAGGAAGUCAGGAGCCUGCUUGUAGAAUGGAGGUUGGAAUAUUUUAAAUUGAAGGAGUCAGGAGCCCGCCUGAAGAAUGGAGGUUUUUAUAUUUUAAGUUGAAGAACUCGGGAGCCUUGCUUGUAAAUGGAGGUUGGUAUAUUUUAAAUUGAAGGAGUGAGGAGCCCAACUGUAGAAUGGAGGUUUUUAUAUUUUAAGUUGAAGAACUCAGGAGCCUGCCUGUAGAAUGGAGGUUGGUAUAUUUCAAAAUUGAAGGAGUCAGGAGCCCGCCUGUAGAAUGGAGGUUGGUAUAUUUUAAAUUGAAGAAGUCAGGAGCCCGUUUGUAGAAUGGAGGUUUUUAUAUUUUAAGUUGAAGAAGUCAGGAGCCCACUUGUAGAAUGCAAGUUUUUAUAUUUUAAGUUGAAGAAGUCAGGAGUCCGCUUAUAGAAUGGAGGUUGGUAUAUAUUAAAUUGAAGGAGUCAGGAGCCUGCUUGUAGAAUAGAGGUUUUUAUAUUUAAGUUGAAGAAAUCAGGAGCCCGCCUGUAGAAUGCAGGUUUUUAUAUUUUAAGUUGAAGAAGUCAGGAGCCCGCCUGUAGAAUGGAAGUUAGUAUAUUUUAAAUUGAAGGAGUCAGGAGCCCGCCUGUAGAAUGGAGGUUGGUAUAUUUUAAAUUGAAGGAGUGAGGAGCUUGCCUGUAGAAUGAGGGUUUUUAUAUUUUAAGUUGAAGAAGUCAGAAGCCCGCCUGUAGAAUGGAGGUUGUUAUAUUUUAAGUUAAGGAAGUCAGGAGCCCGCCUGGAGAAUGGAGGCUGAAUUAUCUUUAAAAUUGUUGUUGGGAGUCAGGAGCCCGCCUGAAGAAUGGAGGAUGUGUCAUCUUUUAAAAGUCAAGAUGGAGUCAGGAGCCCGCCUGUAGAACAAAAGAAUGCAUUUAAAAGAUCAAAUCAGAAGUCAGUAAUGCGGAAGGUUAUAAAAAAAAAUCCCGAGCAUAACAGGUUUUAAUGAAGGGAGCAGUAUCCCCAGCAUGUUGGCGGGAGAGAGAAGCACCGGAGGAAGCACAAGCCGACAAGAAAGCAAUGAAACAAGAGCAAGUUGAAGAUAGAUGAAAUCUUGUAAUCCUUAGUCUAUACUAGCUUCUUUUUUCUUUUUGGCAUGGUGUAAUAAGGAGAACGGUAAAAGCAGUAGUAACACUAUGCAGCAUCAGUAACAACAAAAUUGCAGUCCCAUGGUAGUCCCAACUGCUAAAACUUCCCGAACUACAUUAGCCGGAUUCCCUUUUAGCUAAGGAUAUGUAGGAAACCUUUGAAGCAAAGGAUCAGUUAAAUCAUUUUCAAAAAAUUCUUCACACUGAGUAUUUUAACGGGCAAAAAUCUCUCUUAUCCGCUCACUUUAUCUUUGCACGAAAACUUUUCGUGUUUUCGGACAAAGAGGGGCAGUUGUGAGCACGUGGUUUUAGCCUUAUAUAUGAAUUACUCCCAAAAAACUCAAAAUAAAAUAGUUUUGUGUUAUUUGCAAUUGUUGCGAAUUUUGUAUUAUUUUUCUUGUAUUGGUUGCAUUUUGUUUGGGCGUGUCUAUUUGUUAAAUUAAUGAAAAAUACAAAAUAUAUCGCAUUUGAAUUUAGGAUUUAAUUCUACCAUUAGGAGUAAUUAAGUUUGUUUACAAAAUGAAAAAAAUCACAAAAAUGAUGUAUUUUGCAUUUUUAGCAUUUAAUGUCCAAUUGUAUGAUUUUAUUUUUAAUUGUUAUUUAAUUAUAUGUGAUAAUUAUUAUUAGGAGUUAAUUAGUAUUUUAAUAUAAUUUGUCUUUAUAAUUUAAUUUUAACAUUUUAGUUUUAUUAGGAAGUUGAAUUAAUAUAAAAUAAUAAAAAUAUGAAAGAAAAAUCGGAUUGGGCCUUUUCUUUAAUUUGAAACGACUAGGCCCAAAGCCACACCCCAAUACCCAGUCCAACCCACCCCAAUAACCGUAAAAAUGGGUGUGUAUUAGCCACUUAAUAAGGGUGUAUUUAAUUUUUAUCAACUAUUUAAAAUGCUUAUAAAAAGCAGCCACUACUUAGGGGGAAAAGUCACAAUUACCCUUUUCUAUUUAUUGAAUAAACCCAAAAUCGACGAAAACCCUUAGUUUCAUUCGUUUAGAGUUCAGACGAGAGCGGUUCUGGGUUUCGUGUUCUGCGCUUCUUCAUCUUCAUCGCAUGCAAAUUUCUGCUCCUUCAUCUUCUCCGUCAUCUUCUGUCAAUCGCGACUGAUAAUUUUUUUAUGCAUUUUCGUUUUUCUUUAUGAGUAAGUUGGCUUAUUGCUGUGUGAAGUAUGUGUGAAAUUUAAAAAAUUAGCAUUAUAUGUUGAUUCAGUGUCGUAUAUUUUGUGCGAUUCUGUUUUUUGAUAAAUUUUUAGUGUGUAAAUUCGAAAUGUGUUUGCGGUUGAUUCAAUAUAUUUGAUUAUGUAGGUAUAUUUCAUAAAAAUAGUCGUAGAAAUUCAUAAGCUUACUGUGAUUAUAAAUUUUCAGUUAACUGUGUUCAUUAAAUGUAAGGAAGAAACGACAUUAAAUUUUGUAGUUGGAAUUCAAAGUUAAGGACUGAUUGUCCUUAGCUUUUGCACAUGAAACUUGAAGUUAAGGCGUGAUUAUGAAUUUACAAUUAACUGUGUUCGUUAACUGUAAGGAAGAAACGACGUUAAAUUUUGUAGUUGGAAUUCAAAGUUAAGGAUUGAUUGUCCUUAACUUUUGUACAUGAAACUAGAAGUUAAAGGACUAAAUGUCCUUAACUUUGGAAGUUGAAAAUAUAAGUUAAGGACUGUAUUUCUUUAACCUUUGCACUUACAAUUUAAAGUUAAGGAUUGAUUGUCCUUAACUUUUGCACAUGAAAUUUGAAGUCAAGGACUUAGUGUCCUUAACUUUGGAAGUUGAAAGUAUAAGUUAAGACUAUAUUUCUUUAACCUUUACAUUUACAAUUUAAAACUAAGGACUUAUUGUUCUUAACUUUUGCACAUGAAACUUGAAGUUAAGGACUGAGUAUCCUUAACUUUGGAAGUUGAAAGUAUAAGUUAAGGAUUGUAUUUCUUUAAUCUUUGCACUUACAAUUUAAAGUUAAGGAAUGAUUGUCCUUAACUUCUGCACAUGAAACUUGAAGUUAAGGACUAAGUGUCCUUAACUUUGGAAGUUGAAAGUAUAAGUUAAGGACUGUAUUUCUUAACCUUUGCACUUACAAUUUAAAGUUAAGGACUGAUCGUCCUUAACUUUUGUACAUGAAACUUGAAGUUAAGGACUAAGUGUCCUUAACUUUGGAAGUUGAAAGUAUAAGUUAACUGUGUAUUUCUUUAACCAUUGCAUUUACAAUUUAAUGUAGAUAUUGGUUAAAAUUCAUAAGCAUAGUGUAAUUAUGAAUUUUCAGUUAACUGUAUUCAUUAAAUGUAAGGAAGAAACGACAUUAAAUUUUGUAGUUGGAAUUCAAAGUUAAGGACUGNNNNNNNNNNNNNNNNNNNNNNNNNNNNNNNNNNNNNNNNNNNNNNNNNNNNNNNNNNNNNNNNNNNNNNNNNNNNNNNNNNNNAAACUUGAAGUUAAGGACUAAGUGUCCUUAACUUUGGAAGUUGAAAGUAUAAGUUAAGGACUGUAUUUCUUUAACCUUUGCACUUACAAUUUAAAGUUAAUGACUGAUUGUCCGUAACUUUUGCACAUGAAACUUGAAGUUAAGGACAAUUGUCAUUAACUUUGGAUGUUGAAAGUAUAAGUUAAGGACUGUAUUUCUUUAACCUUUGCACUUACAAUUUAAAGUUAAGGAAUGAUUGUCCUUUACUUUUGCACAUGAAACUUGAAAUUAAGGACUAAGUUUCCUUAACUUUGGAUUUGAAAGUAUAAGUUAAGAUUGUAUUUCUUUAACCUUUGUAUUUACAAUUUAAAGUUAAGGACUGAUUUUCCAUAACUUUUGCACAUGAAACUUGAAGUUAAUGACUGAGUGUCCUUAACUUUGGAAGUUGAAAGUAUAAGUUAAGGACUGUAUUUCUUUUACGUUUGCACUUAAAAUUUAAUGUAGAUAUUGGUUAAAAUUCAUAAGCCUAGUGUGAUUAUCAAUUUUCAGUUAACUGUGUUCAUUAAAUGUAAGGAAGAAACGACAUUAAAUUUUAUAGUUGGAAUUCAAAGUUAAGGAAUGAUUGUCCUUAACUUUUGUUCAUAAAACUUGAAGUUAAGGAGUAAGUGUCGUUGACUUUGAAAGUUGAAAGUAUAAGUUAAGGAUUGUAUUUCUUUAAUCUUUGCACUUACAAUUUAAAGUUAAGGACUGAUUGUCCUUAACUUUUGCAUAUGAAACUUUAAGUUAAUGACUAAGUGUCCGUAACUUUGGAAGUUGAAAGUAUAAGUUAAGACUGUAUUUCUUUAACCUUUGUGUAACGACCUGACCCGUCGUCCCGUGUAUUUCCACCCCGUUUUCCCCUUUUUAUGCUGUUAUAUGUUUCAAUAUAUUUAUUUGGAGAGUUUAGAGUAAUUCGGACGGAGUUUGGAUAGAAAUGAGACAAUUAGUCUCUUUAAGAGAAAGCUAGUUUGAGUCAACCAAAUGCUGACUUAUGAGUUAUAGGGCUCGGAAUAGAUUUCCUAUGAUUCCAAUAGGUUUGGAUGGUGAUUUUUGACUUAGGAGUGAAAUCAGAAAUUGAAUUUGGAGGUCCGGUGUAGAAUUAGGCUUGAAUUGGCUAAGUUAGAAAUUUGGCGAAGUCCGGUUGAUAGGCGAGAUUUUGAUCCGGGUCGGAAUGGAAUUUCAACAGUUGCAGUAUCCCCGUUAGGUAAUUUUGGAUAUGCAUGCAAAUUUUCAGAUCAUUCGGAGGUGUUUAGGUCGGGUUUUGGAUUAAAUGCAAGUUUCGAAAGUUUAAGUUUAACUUAAGCUUGAAUCUGUGGUAAUUUGAGGAUUUUGAUGUUUAUGAUAGUGCUUUAAUGUUACGAGCGAGUUUGAAUGAAGUAAUAGAGCAUAUAUGUGCUUUUGGUUGAGGUCCCGAGGGCCUCGGGGUGGUUUCGGAUGGCUAAUAUGGAUUUUUGAAGUGAAAAAGUGUAGUAGAAAUUGCAGAGCAGAAAUUGCUCUCUGCGAUUGCGAGUCAGGGGCUGCGAAUGCAUAGAAGGAUCGAAAGGGGGUGCUAAAGUUGUCUCUAUGAUCGCGUAGGCUAGAGUGGUUGGUCAAUGCGAUCGCGUAGGAGUGCGUGUGAUCGCGUAGGGUCAUUGGGCAGUGUUCUGCGAUCGCGUGGUCUCACCCGCGAUCGCGUAAGAGGAAAAUUGAGGUUCUGGAUUUUGUUCUCCGCGAUCACAUGCUUUGAGUUGCGAUCGCAUAGAGUAAAUCACUGGGCGGACAGAAUGUUUUAAGGGUUAUUUCACCCUCGGCCUAAACAUAUUUUCCACCAUUGAUAAACAACCAAGAGAGAUUUUUGAGUGAUUUGAAGUGGGUUUUCAGCGGGUAUCGAUUGUAGGUAAGUCUCUUGGCUUAAAAAUAGCAUUUUUUUGAAGAAUCAAUGCCCAAAUUCAUGAAAAUGGGUUGAAAUUUGUGAAGAACUAGGGCUUAGUUUUUAGAAACGAAUUUUGGGGAUUUGAAGGGUCAAACAGACUCUGUUUUUGGUGAACUUUAUAUGUACGGACUCGUGGCGAGACGAGGAAUCCAAAGAUGUAAUUUUUCAGAAUUUUUUGAGAAGUGGUCCUGGGUCUCGGGUUUUACCAAUUUCGUGAUUUUAACGUUUUUCGAAUAAUUUCAAUUGGGUUAUGUUUUAUUUAGCUAUAAUAACCUAUUUGUUGUGGUUUUGAAUAUAUUCGACGCUCGUAGGAGAAGAUUCGUAGGAGAAUGGCAUUGCAGGCCAGGGUAUGACCGGUUAGAUGUCAUAAGUUUGUAUAGAUGAUGGCCCGAGGGUUUGAAACCCCGGUUUAUCACAUCGUGACGCUAUGUUAGGCGUGACUCGCAUCCCAUGGCAGGUGCGGGGUUAUAAAUGAUUGGGGAUUGUGACCUGGUUCAUCCCGAGAGCUGAAUAAAUUAUUUGCGUCUGAUACGCACAUUAUGUUGUUGAUAAUUGGGCUUAACGCCAUGUUUGGGGCCUUGUGCCGAUUCGUAGUACCCCUCUAGGGUGAAUAUCUGGGUGAUAACAUGAUUGCAUAAUCAUUAAUCUCAGUCAUGUGUUUAAUCACCGAAAUGAAAUGCUAAGUAACUUUUCCUGAAAUUAAUUAAUUAAAUUAUAUUUACCUUAAUAAUCAGAAAAAUGGGAAAUUAAAUUGAAUAUGUUUAUGUGACUCAUAUGCAUAUUGUGGACUGAGCAUGGGUCCGGCUGCACGCCACCUCGGUGAUAUGAUAAUAUUGCGCUUGGGCUAAAGGAGCCCUCCGGAGUCUGUACACACCCCAGUGAGUGUCGUCGACGUUAAAUGGAUCGGGCUGCACGCUGCAGCGUAUUCAUGUGCAUUGCAUUGCAUCUUUAUCUGGUACUUGGUUGUUGUUGUGAUACUGUUAUACUGUAGCUAAGUUAUAGGAUUGUUAGUUAUAGCUUUGCAUUGUAGUCUUUCGUGGAUUUCUUACUUUCAGUCAUUUAUUGUGAUACUGUUAUGCUGUUAGUCUGUAGCUAGGUUAUUGGAUUGUUAGUUAUAGCUUUGCAUUGUAGUCUUUCGUGGAUUUCUUAGUUUAAGUUAUUUUUUAUACUUAUUAUUCACUGAGUUGGUAGUACUCACCCCUAUUCCUUGCACCUUGUGUUCAGAUUCAGGUACACCGGAGGCUUAGCUGAUUCUCGUAGUAUCCAGAGAUAUGUCAGAGUCGUUAAGCUAGCUGCAUGACAUUCGCAGGACUUGUCUGCUCUUCAUUAUUUCUUCAUUUUAUUAUUAUUAUAUACUUUCCCAGAUUUGGUAUUGGUAUUCAGAUACUAUUAUUAUCACUCAAUUUUGUGUAGUGGCUCUAGAAUCGUGACCCCCGGAUCAUAUGGGUGUGUUUUUGAUUUUUUGUAUUUUAUCUAUAUCACAUUAAAUACUAUUAUUAUCACUCAGUUUUGUAUAGAGGCUUUAGACUCGUGACCCCCAGAUCAUAUGGGUGUGUUUUCGAUUUUUUCAUAUUUUACCUAUAUCACAUUAUUAAUAUUCUUGGAUUAUUAUUUUGUUAAAUUCUCGGUUAGAGACUUAAAUGUUACGUUAAAAGCGAUUGUUGGUCAAGCUUACCUAACCUUAAGGCCGGGUGCCAUCACGAUCAGUUUGGGUCGUGAUAAGUUGGUAAAGAGUUAAUGUCACGUUAGAAGCGAUUGUUGGUUAGGCUUAACUAGCAUUAGGGCUGGGUGCCAUCACGACCGGGUUUGGGUUGUGACAAGUUGGUAUCAGAGCCAGGUUACUAGGCCUCACGAGUCAUGAGCCGUUUUAGUAGAGUCUUGUUUAUGGGUGUGUCGUUCACCACACUUAUAAGAAGGAGGCUAAAUAACUUUUAGGAAACAUCUCACUUUCUUGAAAUUCUUAUCGUGCGGUUUGAUAACGUGAAAGCUAAAAUUCUGUAUUCUAUUCUCUUGCAGAUGGCGAGAACUCGCGCUAAUGGACAUGGAGGACGACCACUAGUACCACCUACUAGAGGCCAUGGGCGCGGUCGUGGUGCUGGACGAGGCGGACCAGCAGGGGCAGCACCUGCAGACCCACUAGUUGCCCAGGUCCAAGAUCAGCCUCCAGCUGUUGAUGCUUCAGCUGCACCUAUUCAGGCACCGGCAGUGCCCAUCAUAAUUCCUGGUCUCCAGGAAGCUUUGGCUCAGAUUUUGUCCGUCUGCACUGGCCUGACUCAAGAGGUUUCAGCCAAUACAAUAGCAGAUACUUCUCAGACCGGGGGUGGUCAUCAGACCCCUAAUGCUCGCACUCCCGAGCAGGUUGUACAGGGAUUACAGACACCUGAGGUAGCUCCAAUUCAGCUAGUUCAGCCAUUUCAGCCAGUUCAGCCAUUUCAGCCAGUUCACCAGUUGUUCCAGUUCAGCCAGUUGCACCGGUUGUUCCAGUCGCGCCAAUCGCACCUGUUCCAGUUCAUGUCGUCCCAGCUAUGCCUAAUGAUGAGCAGCGGCGGUUGGAGAGGUUCGAUAGGCUCCAACCUCCGACAUUUAGUGGUGCUGAGGGCGAGGAUGCCCUGGGAUUUUUGGAUAAAUUCCAGCAUAUGCUUCGUACGACGGGUAUUCUGGAGUCUAAUGGAGCGGUUUUUACCACCUUCUAGUUCACAGGAGCUGCAUUUAUUUGGUGGGAAGAGUUCGAGAGGCGUAGGCCUAUUGGGGCAGCGCCCCUCACUUGGCAGCAGUUNNNNNNNNNNNNNNNNNNNNNNNNNNNNNNNNNNNNNNNNNNNNNNNNNNNNNNNCCGAGUGUGUCACCUUGGGUUGCACCUGUUCCAGCUCAUGUCAUCCCAGCUAUGCCGGAUGAUGAGCAACGACUGUUGAAGAGGUUUGGUAGGCUCCAGCCUCUGACUUUUAGUGGUGCUGAGGGCGAGGAUGCCUAGGGUUUUUUGGAUAAAUGCCAGUGUAUGCUUCGCACGGCGAGUAUUCUGGAGACUAAUGGAGUGGCUUUUACCACUUUUCAGUUCACAGGGGUUGCAUUUACUUGGUGGGAAGAGUUCAAGAGGCGUAGGUCUAUUGGGGCAACACCCCUCACUUGGCAGCAGUUCUCCACGGUAUUUUUGGAGAAGUAUGUGCCCCAGUCUCACAAGGAGGAGCUGCGUCGUCAGUUCGAGUGGUUGACUCAGGGUGAUAUGUCAGUGACUCAAUAUGAGUUACGAUUUACUCAUCUGGAUAGGCAUGCUAUGUGGAUGAUCCCGACAGAUAGAGAGAGGAUCAGGAGGUUUAUAGAUGGCCUUAACUAUCCGAUUCGUAUAUUGAUGACUAGAGAGAGGGCUACAACAGCUACUUUUUUAGGAGGUUGUGGAUGCGGCUCGUCUGAUUGAUAUAGAUCGCCGCCGGAAGCGUGUGGAGAGAGAGGCCAAGAGGCCUCGAGGUUUAGGUAAUUUUAUUGGCGCUCCAUCUAGGGGCCAUUUCCUGCAGGGUAGAGGUCGUUCCUUCAGGCCUCCUCAGUCCGGACGCACAGAGUCCAGUGGAUCCUCUUCAGGCCGGGGCCAUCAGCAGAGUCAGCUUGCAUUGAGUGCUCUUCCAGCUCAGAGCUCUGCUCCUACUCCUUCAGCUUAGGGUUCGUCCGCAGCGAGGGGUUCUCAUUAGUACCCUUCUCUGACUUCAGUUCGUUGCUAUGAAUGUGGUGAGUUGGGUCAUAUAAGGAGGCAGUGUCCUUGACCCCACAGUAGGCAGCCUCAGCAGAGGGAUCAACCCUCGUUUUCUGCACAGGUUUCUUCAGUUUCCACUCAGACAGCCAGGGGUGAAGGCCAGGUAGCCGGAGGUCUUCACAGGGGUAAGGAACGUACUGGCGGUGGCCAGGCCCGUUUCUAUGCCCUUCGAGAUCGUAGGGACACUAUUGCCUCGGAUGCAGUUAUCACAGGUAUUAUCUCAGUUUGCCACAAGAAUGCAUCUAUUUUAUUUGAUCCCGGAUCUACCUAUUCAUAUGUAUCCUCUUAUUUUGCUCAUCAUUUGGGUACGAACCGUUGUUGUCUUGCCUUGCCCGUGCAUGUAUCGACCCUGGUGGGUGAUACUAUUAUUGUGGAUCAUGUCUAUCGAUCCUGUCUGGUAACUAUUGGGGGUCUUGAGGCCCGAGUUGAUUUAUUAUUAUUGAGCAUGGCAGAUUUCGAUGUAAUUUUUGAAUAACAUCAUUAGGGUAUGACCCGUGGUUGUCUUGCCUUGCCCGUACAUAUAUCUCCCCGGUGGGUGAAACUAUUAUUGUGGAUCAUGUAUAUCAAUCCUAUUUGGUAACUAUUGGGGGUCUGGAGACCAAAGUUGACCUAUUAUUAUUGGGCAUGGUGGAUUUUAAUGUAAUUUUGGGUAUGGAUUGGCUAUCUCCAUACCAUGCUAUUCUGGACUGUCAUGCUAAGACACUUACACUAGCUAUUCCGGGUAUUCCGAGGGUCGAGUGCGAGGCGUGACUGGCUAUGUACCUAGCAGGGUGAUUUCUUUCUUAAAAUCCCAACGGAUGGUUGGCAAGGGGUGUUUAUCAUAUUUGGAUUUCGUGAGAGAUGUGGAAGUCGAGGCUCCUAUCCUUGAUUCGGUUCCCGUUGUUAGGGAUUUUCCUGACUGAUUUCGUGAGAGAUGUGGGAGCCAAGGCUCCUAGCUUGAUUCGGUUCCCAUUGUGAGGGAGUUUCCUGAUGUAUUUCCAGCGGACUUGCCGGGCAUGCCGUCGGACAGGGAAAUUGACUUCAGUAUUGAUCUGGCACCAACAGAGUUAAAAGAGUUGAAAGAACAGCUUCAGGAACUCCUGCAUAAGGGGUUAAUUCACCCGAGUGUGUCACCUUGGGGUGUACCGGUGUUAUUUGUAAAGAAGAAAGAUUGCACAAUGAGAAUGUGCAUCGACUACAUGCAACUGAAUAAGGUGACAGUGAAGAACAAGUACCCACUACCCCGUAUUGAGGAUUUUUUAUUUGAUCAGCUCCAGGGAGCGAGGGUAUUCUCUAAGGUUGACCUUCGAUCAGGCUAUCACCAGCUAAAUAUUAGGGAGUUAGACAUUAUGAAGACGACUUUCAGGAAAAAGAUAUGGGAACUACGAGUUUCUAGUGAUGUCUUUUGGGCUGACUAAUGCCCGAGUCGCGUUCAUGCACUUGAUGAAUAGUGUAUUUUGGCCUUAUCUGGAUUCUUUCGUGAUUGUUUUUAUUGAUGAUAUUCUGGUGUAUUCACGUAGUCAGGAGGAGCAUGCACAACACUUGAGGGUGGUCUUGCAACGAUUGAGAAAGGAGAAACUUUAUGAAAAAUUCUCUAAGUGUGAAUUCUUGCUUAAUACCGUGACUUUUCUAGGACACAUGGUGUCCAGUGAUGGUAUUCAGGUUUACCCAAAGAAGAUUGAGGUAGUGCAGAGUUGGCCCAGACUGUCCUUAGUUACUUAGAUUCGGAGUUUCCUCGAUUUAACGGGUUAUAACCGUAGAUUCGUUCAAGGGUUCUCAUUUAUUGCUUCGCAUUUGAAGAAGUUGACUCAGAAGAAUGCUCCAUUUGUGUGGUCAGAUGAAUGCGAGGAGAGCUUCCAGAAGCUCAAGUCGGAUUUGACCACCGUCCCGGUAUUAGUAUUACCAUCAGCUUCAGGCUUUUACACGGUGUGUUGUGAUGCUUCGAGAGUUGGGAUCACUUGUGUGUUGAUGCAGGAGGGUAGAGUUAUUGCGUAUGCUUCCCGUCAGCUAAAGCCCCAUGAGAAGAACUAUCCCGUUCAUGACUUAGAGUUAGCUGCAAUUGUGCAUGCCUUAAAAAUUUUGAGGCAUUAUCUUUAUGGUGUAUCUUGUGAGGUAUAUACGGACCAUUGCAGUAUUCAGCACUUGUUUAAACAGAAAGAUCAUAAUUUGAGACAGCGGAAAUGGCUGGAGUUACUUAAAGACUAUGAUAUCACCAUUUUGUAUCAUCCCGGGAAGGCCAAUGUGGUGGCCGAUGGUUUGAGCCGGAAGGCUAUCAGCAUGGGUAGUCUGGUGUACAUUCCAGUUGAGGAGAGGCCCCUUGCGGUUGAUGUUCAGGCCUUGGACAAUAAGAUGGUGAGUGUGAUUUUUUAAAGGCUAUCCGCAUGGGUAGUCUGGCAUACAUUCCAGUUGGGGAGAGACCCCUUGCGGUUGAUGUUGCCUUGGCCAAUCAGAUGGUGAGGUUAGAUAUUUCCGAGCCCAGUCGGAUGUUGGCGAGUGUGAUUUGCAGGUAUUGUUUUUAUGACCGCAUCAGAGAGAGGCAGUAUGAUGACCCGCAUUUGCUUGUCCAGCAUGAUGAGGCCCGAGAUGUGACUAUUGGAGAUGAUGGCGUAUUGCGGAUGCAAGGCCGAAAUUGCGUGCCCAAUGUGGAUGGUCUACGGGAGGUGAUUUUAGAGGAGGCUCAUAGCUUGCAGUAUUCGAUUCAUCCGGGUGCCACAAAGAUGUACCAGGGUUUGAGACAACAUUACUGGUGGAGGAGAAUGAAAAAGGACAUUGUGAGUUACGUGGCUCGGUGUCUCAACUGUCAGCAAGUCAAAUACGAGCACCAGAGACCCGGUGGUGUACUCCAGCGGAUGGAUAUCCCGGAAUGGAAAUGGGAAAACAUUAUUAUGGAUUUUGUGAGUGGGUCUUCCUCGUACCUUGAAGAAGUUUGAUUCGGUUUGGGUGAUUGUGGAUAGGCUGACUAAGUCGGCGCACUUUAUUCCAGUAUGUACUACCUAUUCGACGGAGAAGUUAGCAGAGAUUUUUAUUCGGGAGAUUGUACGGUUACAUGUAGUCCCGGUUUACUUCCUAGUUUUGGAGGACUUUUCAUUAGUAUGUACUACCUAUUCGGUGGAGAAGUUAGCAAAGAUUUUCAUUCAGGGGAUUGUACGGUUGCAUGGAUCCCCGAUUUCUAUUGUAUCAGAUAGGGGUACCGUGUUUACUUCCCAGUUCAAGAGGACUUUUCAUCGGGAGUUGGGCACACAAGUACAGUUGAGCACAUCACUUCACCCACAGACGGUCAGACAUUCCGAGCAUACUAUUCAGAUUUUGGAAGACAUGUUGCGUGCUUGUGCUAUUGAUUUUGGAGGUUCUUGGGUUGAAUUCUUGCCACUUGCUUAGUUUGCGUAUAAUAACAUCUAUCAAUCCAGCAUUCAGAUGGCGCCACAUAAGGCCUUGCAUGGGAGACGGUGUAGAUCUCUGAUUGGUUGGUUUGAGCCCGGCGAGGCUAGAAUAUUGGGGACAGAGUUAGUUCAGGAUGCCUUGGAGAAGGUGAAACUAAUCCAGGAGAGACUCCGUACAGCUCAGUCGCGUCAGAAGAGUUAUGCGGACCGGAAGGUUCGAGAUGUAUCUUAUGUAGUGGGCGAGAAAGUCUUGCUGAAGGUUUCGCCUAUGAAAGGUGUUAUGAGGUUUGGAAAGAAAGGAAAACUGAGACUAAGGUUCAUCGGACCUUUUGAAAUACUUAGGAGAAUUGGGGUAGUGGCCUAUAUGCUUGCUUUUCCACCUAGCUUAUCGGGAGUUCACCCGGUGUUUCAUGUUUCUAUGCUCCAGAAGUAUGUUGGGGACCCGUAUCAUGUGUUAGACUUUAGCACGAUCCAGUUAGAUGAAGACUUGACCUAUGAUGUGGAGCCGGUGGCUAUUUUGGGUCGUCGGGUUCGAAAGUUGAGAUCAAAGGACAUAGCUUCGGUGAAGGUGCAGUGGAGAGGCCGGCCCAUGGAGGAAGCCACUUGGUAGACCGAACAGGAGAUGCGGAGCAAAUAUCCUCACUUGUUUUAUACUCCAUGUAUGUUUCUUGACCCUCUCGAGGACGAGCGUUUGUUUAAGUUGGGGAGGAUGUAACGACCUGACCCGUCGUCCUGUGUAUUUCUGUCCCGUUUUCCCCAUUUUAUGCUGAUAUAUGUUUCAAUAUAUGUAUUUGGAGAGUUUGGAGUAAUUCAGAUGGAGUUUGGAUAGAAGUGAGACAAUUAGUCUCUUUAACAGAAAGCUAGUUUGGAAAAGUCAAUCGAACAUUGACUUUUGAGUUAGAGGGCUCGGAAUGGAUUUCCGAUUAUUCGACUAGUUUCGGAUGGUGAUUUGUGUCUUAGGAGAAAAAUCAAAAGUAAAUUUAGAGGUUCGGUGUAGAAUUAGGCUUGAAUUGGCUAAGUUAGAAAUUUGGCAAAGUCCGGUUGAUAGGCAUGAUUUUGAUUCGGAGGUUGAAAUAGAAUUCUGAAAGUUGCAGUAGCCUCGUUAGGUGAUUUUGGAGAUGCGUGCAAAUUUUUAGAUCAUUCGGAGGUGUUUAGGUCGGGUUUUGGAUCAAAUGCAAGUUUUGGAAGUUUUAGUUUAACUUGAGCUUGAAUCCGUGGUAAUUUGAGGAUUUUGAUGUCUUUGAUAGUGUUUUUAUGUUACGAGUGAGUUUGAAUGAAGUAAUAGAUCAUAUCUGUACUUUUGGUUGAGGUCCCCAGGGUCUCGAGGUGAUUUCAGAUGGCUAACGGGGAUUUUUGAAGUGAAAAGGUGUAGCAGAAAUUGCAGAGCAGAAAAUGCUCUCUGGGAUCGCGAGCCAGGGGUUGCAAUCGCAUAGAAGGAUCGGAAAGGGUUGCUAAAUUGGUCUCUGCGAUCGCGUAGGCUAGAGUGGUUGGUCAAUGCGAUCGUGUAGGAGUGCGUGCAAUCGCUUAGGCUCAUUGGGCAGUGUCGCGACCCAAAUUCAAUACCCGAUCGUGAUGGCGCCUCUCGUGAAGACAAGGCCAGCCAACAACCCAAAAAUCCUCUUNNNNNNNNNNNNNNNNNNNNNNNNNNNNNNNNNNNNNNNNNNNNNNNNNNNNNNNNNNNNNNNNNNNNNNNNNNNNNNNNNNNNNNNNNNNNNNNNNNNNNNNNNNNNNNNNNNNNNNNNNNNNNNNNNNNNNNNNNNNNNNNCCGAUUGAACAAUACCUGCAACUGGACGCAAGGUGCAAGGAGUAAAGUGAGUACUUCCAACUCAGUGGUAAUAAGAGAAAAUAAUAUUUGAGCGAUAAGAAAAACAAAUGAGAGCACCAAACUGAUAUAAAAGACAGAACAACCCUUUUUGAGAAAAAUCUAAAUACCGUGGAAAUCCAUUUAGAAAAUCUCAAGAUCAGUUUAAAAUCUCUUUUGAAAAUAUACUUUUUCAACAAUUGCAAAGAUAAUUUCAAAAAGUAGGAAAUAAUCAGAAACUGCCCCUCGGGCUCAAUAUCAACCUUUCAGUACAGUACCAGCCCGCAUGCUCACUCCCAACUCACAAUAUCCAUCAUCAGCCUCUCAGGCUCAGCACUUCUCAACAUAUAACACCAGGGUAUGUGGUCAUCUAGGCAAGUAACAGUAUGUAUGCCGAUGAUAUAUGAGUGCUAAAUGUCGUGCCAUAUAGUACAAGCAGAAGUAAUGCAUGAAUGGAAUGCAAUGCAUGAACACUGCGGAACGUGCAGCGUGAUCCAUUUGGGUACCCGCCUCACUUUGGGGGUUCAGACUCCGUAGGGGCUUCUACAGCCCAAGAGCAAUAUCAAUAUCACACCGUUGCGGCGUGCAACCCAAUCCAUGCAAUGUAUAUGCACAUGUAAACAUAACACUCGAGUCCUGAAGCCUCCUUACAUCAUCUUAAUGUCCUCACAUAUGGCCCUCAACUUCAAUUAGUCCAAAAUAGUCAAAAAGCCCAAUGUAUAUGCACAUGUAAACAUAACACUCGAGUCCUGAAGCCUCCUUACAUCAUCUUCAUGUCCUCACAUAUGGCUCUCAACCUCAAUUAGUUCAAAUCGUCCAAAACGCCCCUCGGGCAUCAGUAAAACAAUUAUGCUCAUCUCAAAUGAUAGUUCAAUUAUCAGUUAAAACUCCAAGUUUGAGUAAAAAUAUAGUUGAGUUCAUGAAACAGUAUAAAUCACAUGGACUAAGUUAAAAUAAUAUUUGAAAUAGUGAGGAAAACAGUGAUGAUAGCUCACAAAGAGUUCAAACAAUCGACAAUAAGCCCCAAAUAUGGUAAUGAGCCCAAGUCAUAAUGAUAACAACAAAUCAUUUGCAAAUACGCGAUGAAAACCAACAACCGGGACAUACCAAGUCACGAUCCCCAACGGUGCUCUACCCCACGCUGGGGUCCAGCGUUCAAGUCACCACAAUACAGCACUAAGAUGUGCAAAUCCGGGGUUUCAAACCCUCAGGAUAUCAUUCCCAAGUAUUACUCCCCUCGGACCGGCGAAAUCUCAAGCUCGCGAUGCCUUUGCCCCUCAAAUCGGCCUCCAUGUGCGUCGAAUCUAGCUAAAAAUAGAGCGAAUACAUCACAAUAUGCAAAUGGGACAAUACCCAAUCGAAAACAAUCGAAUAAUAGCAAGAACCUCGAAACUAGUAAAACUCGAGCCCCGGGUUCGCUUCUCGAAAAAUUAUGAAACUUACAUUUCCGAAAUCCUCGUCUCGCCACGAGUUCAUACAUACCAAGAACUCCCAAAUUCGUGCUCAAAUGACCUAUCAAAUUCCAAUUAGAAAUAUCAAAACUCAAGCCCUAACUUUAGCCUAUUUUUAAUUAAUUCAACCAAGGUUCCAUGUUAAUUCUUCCAUAAACUUGAAUAAUUAGGCCAAUGAACUUACCUUCCUUUGAUUCCAUUCGAAACUCUCUUCAUUUGCUCCCAAAAGUUCUGAAAAUACUCAACAAUGGUGAAAAGAUGACUUAUACUCGCGGAUGAAAAAUGAUAACUUAAACCCUUUUUGCCUAGCUCGAGUUCUGCUUACGCGGUCCACUGACCACUCCUGCGACCUCCGCUUUUGCAACAAUUUGACCGCUUCUGCAGUCCAACUUAAAAUCCCAUCGACCAUUUCUGCGGUCCUUGACCGCUUCCGCGGUUUCCAAACCGUUCGUGCGGUCCCAGCCAUUCUCCCUUGGCCGCUUAUGCGGUCCUUCAGCCGCGUCCGCGGAACCGUUUAGGCGACUCCUCUUCCGCUAACGCGAAAAUAGCAGAAGCAGCAAUACAAAAACAUACAUAAACUCCUACAACCUCCGUUCAACCAUACGAAAUCACCUCGAGGCCCCCGGGGUUCAAACCAAAAACACAACUAUGGCCAAAUACCUUAUUCAAACUUGCUCGAUCCAUAAGAACACUAUCAUUAACAUCAAAAAUCACCAAAUUCCUCAAUCCAAGCCUAAAUUUCUUAAGAACUUCCGAGAUGCGCAUACAAUCAAAAACCCAACCAAACGACAUAUGAAUGACCUAAAAAUUUACAGACAUAUUCAAAAUCACCUAAAGAAGCUACUGCAACUGUCAGAAUUCCAUUCCGACCCUCGGAUCAAAAUCUCACCUAUCAACCGGAAUCCGCCAAAAUUCAAACUUCGCCAAUUCAAGCCUAAUUCUACACCAGACCUCCAAAUUCAUUCCGAUCGCUCUCCUAACACACAAAUCAUCUCCCAAACCUAACUGAAUCAUCGGAAGUCACAUCCGAGCCUUCUAACUCACAAGUCAACUUCCAGUUGACUUUUCCAAAACAAGCUUCCUUCUAAGAGGCCAUGUGCCUCAUUUUUCACCAAAACUAAUUCAAUUACACUCGAUCGAUUCUAAUACUGAUAUUGAAACAUGAAGCAACAUAAUAAGGGGGAACGAAGCAGUAACACAUAGGAUGACGGGGCGGGUCGUCACAUCCUCCCCAACAUAAACAAACGCUCGUCCUCGAGCGUACCCAGAGUUGUACUAGAUUGAGUUCUGAAACCAAGUAAUCCAUCACACCCACGGUGAAGCAAGUCAUACACUCACUAUUCAAUCCUGAAAGGACGCAACCGGUACGCUAUUCACCGACCAACACACAAUACGGACUUUCCUCAGAAACUAGGAAGUAAUGCAUACAAGGUAACACAUAUAGAAAACUAUUCUCCACAUGACGUUGUUGCGGUGUGCAACCCGCUCCAGAUAACAUACCCGUGGUGGUGUGCCACCCGAUCCUGCACAUAUAUCUCACAAAAGGAGAUGGUUGCGGUGCGCAACUCGCUCCAGAUAGCAUACCCGUGGUGGCGUGCCACCUAAUCCAGAUACCACACCCGUGGCGGCGUGCCACCGGAUCCUGCACAUAUAUCUCACAAAAGGAGAUGCACAUUUAGUCAAAUUUGCUCAUUACAAUAAACACAUAUAGCCUCAUGCCCUGCCGCAAAAAAAAAAAACAUCCAAGAAGCCCCUCAAUACCGGAACUAAAUCAGUGGUAGAAACCUCUGCAUUGACAUCCACCAGGAAGGCCCAAUUAACAAAGCAAUACUUGCCAACCAUACAUUGGUCCUUGGAAUAUAACUACUCUGCUAGAACAAUAAUUCGACACACCUUACCAUGCAGCCUGUGGCCCUUUUUCUGACACAAUCCAUAACACAUUAGUCAAGACAACCUGACAUUGGGACAACCAGUCUGUAAUCUAAUAUCAACAACAACAACAACAACAACUACCCAGUGUAGUCCCGCAAAGUGGGGUAUGGGGAGGGUAAUAUGUAGACGAGCCUUACCCCUACCAGAAAGGGCAGAGAGGAUGUUUCCAAUCGAUCCUCGGCUUAGUGAAGGAAAAGUCUGUAAUCUAAUAUCAUAACCCAAAUUUAACAUACCAAGCAAAGAAAAAUCCACGCGGACCUCCAGUUCCAACAACUGCAAGACGAUGUAAAUACACACGACCCACAACCACCGCAUGGUCGGAUCACGAGAACUUCUAGUCUCCAACACAUAUAAUGCAUGAAUCACUAUACAUGAUCCCACACUUCGCUGCACGAAUACAUAACACACAUCAAGUAUCCACUCAUACCGUGAAAGAUAUUCAAAAUUUCCUGUGCCAUCAACAGACUCAAAUAUCCGCAGUCAAUCCGACAAGAAAAUGUCGUAAUACUACUGACGUAUCAUAAAUUUACAUCACCUUAAUCAUAUGAAGAAUCGAUUCUUUACUCACGUGAAGCUGUCCGUGCUGCUCAAGAAUUUAAUGAUUUCCCAUUAUGAACUGAACCAAUGCCUUGAACACGCAAUUCUCAAUUCUCCAUAUCAUAACACACAUACCAUACCACACUAGGAUAAUACGAGGACUUGUGUCUCUCUCAUGUGCCACAGAUUUUGGCGCACUCAACUAGUCAAGAACUUUCAGGACCCCAUAUAGGAGAAAAAUUAUUAUACACUCCAUGCUUCCCAUACCCCUAGGAAAUAUACUCAUUUUCAAACCCCGAAAAAACACAUCAAGGACACUUUCUCCCAAUUCCAUUACACAAGCUAAACUGCCAGGACUGAAUCCUUCUACCCAAACCAAGUUAAACAAACGUCUAGCACUUCAAAGCUUUGCUGCACAAUACUUGUAAGGCUCAUUACCUCGAACACAUACAAUAAUUAAUCAUAUCCCAUCACGCGAGAGCUUUGCUGCACUAUUCCUAUAAGGCUCAGUGCCUCAAACACAUACAAGAAUUAAUCAUACUCUUACCAUACUGAUUAGGUUUAUCAUCAAGCUAUUCCAUUUAUCUAAUUUCCUUCCUGAUUUAUCAUUAAUUGGGUAUUCUCCCUUGCUGUAGCACCACAAUACCUCACCUCAGGUUACCACACGAUACUUGAACAUAAGACCACACUGUCUAAGACCCAUAGGCCACUGAAUACCCUCUCGAACGCUUCCCAAAAGCACCACAUUCCAAAAUGCUUUACUCCGAAGAACUUCCUGCGAAUCUGAAUUCAUUACCAUUACUUCCAAGAUAUUGAUACAUAGAAUCCCAUAAUUAACAUAACAUACCACAAGUCUUGAUCUCUCCUAAUGAAAAAACAAUCCCUAGCCACAUACACAACCAUAAAACACAUGAUUGUUACAUGCAAAAAUCUAGAACACAAUAAAAGCAAUCUCCAAAGUCAUUCACUCUUAAACAACUAAAAUUCACCCGCCUUAACAGACAGAACUACUCGUGCCUUAUUAGCACUCUGACACCGCAGAACAUGAUUUCAUACAGAUACAAAAACAAUCUUUCUUCUCUAUACAUUGAGCAUUCUUUAUCAUCAACAGCUCAAAACGUCUCAGUAUUUCUCACACCUACGAAGCACCAUAUAACCUUUGUAGUAAUUUUCCUUCACACGAGCCAUCCUCCGCUCACUUCCUGUAACCCGAACUGAUCCGCCAUCAUACCUCAAAAAGGAACCCACCUAGCACAUAACCAUGCAAUUAGCUGACCAACAACAACCUCCCCAACUUGGCUCGAAGCCAUAUAUUAAGGCACUCUUAACAACUCAUAACACUUUUAUUCUCAUGAUGCAAUUAGCUGACCAACAACAACCUCCCCAACUUGGCUCGAAGCCAUAUAUUAAGGCACUCUUAGCAACUCAUAACACUCUCACUCUAAUGAUACCACAUUGAGAUCAAACCCAAAUCAUUUACAAGUUUUGUGAAUACACAGAUCAUCAAGCACUAACACUCCAUGCAAACCUCACAUUCAUUUCCACAUCAGUGUAGUCCACUUUCUUAAGCAUCCCAAUUCUUCAAAAUACAACACAUACCUUUCAAUUACACAUGAGAUAUUUCAGAUACACAUAAGGAUCGUAUCGCUCAAACCCUCCGCAGGAGAUAACCGACCUGCUUCGCCUAAUAUCAUUGUUACCACAUACUGUCCACUAUCAUAUACGUAUUACACAACCAUUUAGUCUUUCUGAGUCUGAACUCAUACCGCCACAUGGAAGGUACUUUAAUUGCCAACUAGGGGAUACAAAAAUAUUCUUCACGCGCCCAUGCCUCGGGCUACACAACAGGCCGCAAUAGGAAACAAACACUUAACAACUUAUCUAUUAUCUAUCAGACUUCUUCGUCACUACCAAAAUUAUAUAGAUACACCUCGCAUUACUAACAUACUCUUCACAUGAAUAUCCAGCCGCUAUUACUACGAAAAAGAAUAUCACUGAACAUAAAAGUCCAAAACACUUGUUCACACCAUUAGCACCUCGCUGCUCAAGCCCUAGGCAAAUAUCCGGCCUCAAGUCCUUCAGACUGGCCCAACAUGAAAUCACUGAGAUUACCUCUCGCCCCUUGAUCAGGGAAUCACAAGCCAUCAAGGCACAUAUACUACUGAGCGCUCACGUGCACAUACGGACGUGUGGAAGGAAUUUCAAAAAUUAUAUAUCAAGCUGAAUCAAGUACGCACGAUAAGAAUUUCAAGAAUAGGAUGUUUUCCUAAAGGUUCUGCAGCCUCUCGAGGAUAAAUACAGACUCACGUACGCAUACAGACGUGUAGAAUGAAUUUUCAAGAGUUAUCUAUAACUGAAUCAAGUACGCACGAUAAGAAUUCCAAGAAUGGGAAGUUUUCCUAAAGGUUAUCCAGCCUCUCAAGGAUAAAUACAGACGUCUCCGUACCGAUCCGCGAGACUCUACUAACCCUGCUCAUGACUCGUGAGACCUAGAAACCUAGGCUCUGAUACCAACUUGUCACGAUCCAAAUUCUAUACCCGAUCGUUAUGGCGCCUCUCGUGAAGACAAGGCCAACCAACAACCCAAAAAUCCUCUUUAAGCAGUUAAACCGUUAUAUAGCAUAUCGAAUCUGGAUUUAUGACAUUAAUUAAUAUGAAAAUUAAUACAGCCUGCACGGGGUGUCACAAGUCACGAGCAUCUAAUGAGUAGGGACACUACUACUGGUCCAACAAUGUUUGUGUAUAUUAUAAAUACACACACACAAGAUAAAAUUGGAAUACAAAGAUGGAGCGCAGUGCCGCGAACGCUGGCGAUCACCUUGCUCAAUUACCAGAAUAUGGCCUUCGAUCCUGCUAAUAACCCGCUAUCGGGUGAACAAUACCUGCAACUGCACGCAAGGUGCAGACAGUAGAGUGAGUACUUCCAACUCAGUGGUAAUAUGAGAGAAUAAUAUCUGAGCGAUAAGAAAAUACGUAGGAGCACACCAAACUGCUAUUACAGACAGAACAACCAUUUUUGGAAGAAAUUAAUAUCUGCGCAAUAAGAAAGCACGUAUAAGCGCACCAAACGAGUUUACCGGAUUGCCGAACAACUUCUUGAAAAUUGAAAAUCGUUGAACACUUGAAAANNNNNNNNNNNNNNNNNNNNNNNNNNNNNNNNNNNNNNNNNNNNNNNNNNNNNNNNNNNNNNNNNNNNNNNNNNNNNNNNNNNNNNNNNNNNNNNNNNNNNNNNNNNNNNNNNNNNNNNNNNNNNNNNNNNNNNNNNNNNNNNNNNNNNNNNNNNNNNNAGAGAUGUUGAUGAAUUGGUGAAUAAAAAUGAAAGAAUGAGGGGGUAUUUAUAGUUGGGAUAUGGGAAAAAUUGGAAUAUAUAAAGUUUGGGGGGCCAAAUGGGUAUUUUACAAAGUUCCAAACGGCUAUUUUUGAAAAGAGCAGUUACUGAUUUUUAAAAUUUUUUUAUAACAGAAAGAGCCGUUGGGCCCGCCAAGCCUGCCAUGACCUUCUUCGCUUCUAGACCGGCUCGUCACAGGCUUAAUGGACCGGCAGGCCCGGAACCGCCAGAACCGGCCUACCAGGACCGCUAGGACCGCGGUCCCGAUCUGGUCCCGGUUCAGGCCGGGGCCGUUUGCACCUUAACCGGAAUCCGCCAAAAUUCAAACUUCGUCAAUUCAAGCCUAAUUCUACAUCGGACCUCCAAAUUCAAUUCCGAUCGCUCUCCUAACUCACAAAUAAUCUCCCGAAGCUAACCGAAUCAUCGAAAGUCACAUCUGAGCCUUCUAACUCACAAGUCAACUUUCGGUUGACUUUUCCAAAACAAGCAUCCUUCUAAGAGGCCAUGUGCCUCAUAAUCAACCAAAAGUUUUAAAAAUACAAGCAUGAAUAUGAACAAUACUUGCGCUAUUUAUUUACCCAUAUAACUAAUCGUAUGUCUAUUACAACUGAUAUUGGUAGAAGUAAUAAUGAUUNNNNNNNNNNNNNNNNNNNNNNNNNNNNNNNNNNNNNNNNNNNNNNNNNNNNNNNNNNNNNNNNNNNNNNNNNNNNNNNNNNNNNNNNNNNNNNNNNNNNNNNNNNNNNNNNNNNNNNNNNNNNNNNNNNNNNNNNNNNNNNNNNNNNNNNNNNNNNNNNNNNNNNNNNNNNNNNNNNNNNNNNNNNNNNNNNNNNNNNNNNNNNNNNNNNNNNNNNNNNNNNNNNNNNNNNNNNNNNNNNNNNNNNNNNNNNNNNNNNNNNNNNNNNNNNNNNNNNNNNNNNNNNNNNNNNNNNNNNNNNNNNNNNNNNNNNNNNNNNNNNNNNNNNNNNNNNNNNNNNNNNNNNNNNNNNNNNNNNNNNNNNNNNNNNNNNNNNNNNNNNNNNNNNNNNNNNNNNNNNNNNNNNNNNGUUCCUAAACCUUGCCCGACUAGGUGGAAUUACAUGUAUGAAAGUUUAGUAGUAGCGUACGAAUAUAGAAACCCAAUUAACGCUACGUAUAGUUCUAGGGAUUGUGGUGAGGAAGAUAAUGACAUGCUAACUACACAUGAUUGGACAAACGUUAAAAUUCUUUUAGAUUUUUUAGAACAUUUUCAUGUGGCUACAAAUGCUUUAUCUGGNNNNNNNNNNNNNNNNNNNNNNNNNNNNNNNNNNNNNNNNNNNNNNNNNNNNNNNNNNNNNNNNNNNNNNNNNNNNGCCAAUAUUAUCCAACUAUUUCUAACUGUUUAGUUUAUAUUGCCGCACUUGCUAAUUUGUUUGUUGAUUUUAGCGAGGGAGGGGAAAUUUAUGAACUUGCAAUAACUGAAAUGAAAAAGAAAUUUAAAUUUUUUUUCCAAUCCCUCCUAUAUUUGGUGUGUCUGCUAUGUUAAAUCCAACUAUGAAAUAAUGAGGUCCUCACUUUUGGUAUUCUACUAUUUAUCAAUCUUUAGAUCUUUCAGAAGUAGAAAUGACUACACUAGCUGAUGCGAAAGCAUCAAUUAAAGCUAAUGCUCAUACUGUUUAUAAUGCUUAUAAACAGGCGUUAGAGCAUGUUAGGCCUAAUAUUCCAACCCCUACUNNNNNNNNNNNNNNNNNNNNNNNNNNNNNNNNNNNNNNNNNNNNNNNNNNNNNNNNNNNNNNNNNNNNNNNNNNNNNNNNNNNNNNNNNNNNNNNNNNNNNNNNNNNNNNNNNNNNNNNNNNNNNNNNNNNNNNNNNNNNNNNNNNNNNNNNNNNNNNNNNNNNNNNNNNNNNNNNNNNNNNNNNNNNNNNNNNNNNNNNNNNNNNNNNNNNNNNNNNNNNNNNNNNNNNNNNNNNNNNNNNNNNNNNNNNNNNNNNNNNNNNNNNNNNNNNNNNNNNNNNNNNNNNNNNNNNNNNNNNNNNNNNNNNNNNNNNNNNNNNNNNNNNNNNNNNNNNNNNNNNNNNNNNNNNNNNNNNNNNNNNNNNNNNNNNNNNNNNNNNNNNNNNNNNNNNNNNNNNNNNNNNNNNNNNNNNNNNNNNNNNNNNNNNNNNNNNNNNNNNNNNNNNNNNNNNNNNNNNNNNNNNNNNNNNNNNNNNNNNNNNNNNNNNNNNNNNNNNNNNNNNNNNNNNNNNNNNNNNNNNNNNNNNNNNNNNNNNNNNNNNNNNNNNNNNNNNNNNNNNNNNNNNNNNNNNNNNNNNNNNNNNNNNNNNNNNNNNNNNNNNNNNNNNNNNNNNNNNNNNNNNNNNNNNNNNNNNNNNNNNNNNNNNNNNNNNNNNNNNNNNNNNNNNNNNNNNNNNNNNNNNNNNNNNNNNNNNNNNNNNNNNNNNNNNNNNNNNNNNNNNNNNNNNNNNNNNNNNNNNNNNNNNNNNNNNNNNNNNNNNNNNNNNNNNNNNNNNNNNNNNNNNNNNNNNNNNNNNNNNNNNNNNNNNNNNNNNNNNNNNNNNNNNNNNNNNNNNNNNNNNNNNNNNNNNNNNNNNNNNNNNNNNNNNNNNNNNNNNNNNNNNNNNNNNNNNNNNNNNNNNNNNNNNNNNNNNNNNNNNNNNNNNNNNNNNNNNNNNNNNNNNNNNNNNNNNNNNNNNNNNNNNNNNNNNNNNNNNNNNNNNNNNNNNNNNNNNNNNNNNNNNNNNNNNNNNNNNNNNNNNNNNNNNNNNNNNNNNNNNNNNNNNNNNNNNNNNNNNNNNNNNNNNNNNNNNNNNNNNNNNNNNNNNNNNNNNNNNUUAAAUACAAUAUAUACUACUUAUAUACAAAAUAUACACUACUUAUACAAAAUAUAUACUAAUUACCAAACACAAUAUAUACUAUACUGAUAACAUAGUACACCAUAUAAAAUAUAUUCUACAAUAUACUAAUGACUACCAUACAAGAUAUUGAUUAAAAAAAAAAAUUUCAGAACCGUCGGAAUCGGAACCGCCAGAACCGGAACCGGAUGGUACCCGGAACCGUAUGGAACCGGUUCCAGCUCCGGAACCGCCAGAACCAGAACCGCCAGAGCCGCCAGAACCGGAACCGCAGACCCAAAUAGACCCAGAAGCGGAACCAGAUACAGCCUUAACCAAAAUCAUUUCAAUUACACUCGAUCGACUCUAAUACUGAUAUUGGAACAUGAAGCAACAUACUUAGGGGGAAGCGGAGCAGUAACACAUAGGAUAACGAGUCGGGUCGUCACAUGCAGUGUUCUGCAAUCGCGUGGUCUCACCUGCGAUCGCGUAAGAGGAUAAUUGAGGUUCUGGUAUUUGUUCUCCGCGAUCGCGUGCUUUGGGUUGCGAUCGCAUAGAGUAAAUCACUGGGCGGACAGAAUGUUUUAAGGAUUAUUUCAUCCGCGACUUAAACAUAUUUUCCAUCAUUGUUAAGCAACUAGGAGGGAUUUUUGAGCGAUUUGAAGUGGGUUUUCAGCGGGUAUCGAUUAGAGGUAAGUCUCUCGGCUUAAAAGCAUCAUUUUUAUUGAAGAAUCAACACCCAAAAUUCAUUAAAAUGAGUUGAAAUUGUGAAGAACUAGGGCUUAGUUUUUAGAAACGAAUUUUGGGGAUUUGAAGGGCCAACAUACUCCGUUUUUGGUGAACUUUAUAUGUACGGACUCGUGGCGAGACGAGGAAUCUGAAGAUGUAAUUUUCAGAAUUUUUUGAGAAGUGGGACCGAGGCUCGAGUUUUACCAACUUCGUGAUUUUUAACGCUUUUUUAAUAAUUUCAAUUGGGUUAUGUUUAUUUAGCCUAUAGUAACCUAUUCGUUGUGGUUUUAAAUAGAUUCGAUUCUCAUUGGAGAAUAUUCGAAGGGGAAAGGCAUUGCAGACCAGACUACGACUGGUUAGAGGUGAGCAGUUUGUAUAGAUGAUGGCCUGAGGGUUUGAAACCCCGGUUUAUCACAUCGUGACGCUAUGUUAGGGCGUGACUCGCACCCCAUGGAAGGUGCGGGGUUGUAAAUGAUUGGGGAUUGUGACUUGGUCCACUCCGAGAGCUGAAUAAAUUAUUGGUGUCUGAUACGCACAUUGUGUUUUUGAUAAUUGGGCUUAAUGCCAUGUUUGGGGCCUUGUGCCAAUCUGUAGUACCCUUCUAGAGUGAAUAUCUGUGUGAUAACAUGAUCACAUAAUCAUUGAUCUCAGUCCUGUAUUUAAUCACCGAAAUGAAAUGCUAAGUCACUUUUCCUGAAAUUAAAUAAUUAAAUUAUAUUUAAUUUUAUUGUUUCUUUCUUACAAACACCCUUUUUAAAAAAAAUAUGUUUUUUUGAUUCAGAGAUUAUCAGAGAGUUUUAAGAAGGAUUUGCAAGCGAAAGUUACCAGAGUUAAUAAAAAAAUUGCUUUAUCAGAAAAAAUGAUUGAGAAUGAAAGGAUAUUGUGGACUGAGCAUGAGUCGGGCUGCACGCUGCAGCGGUGAUAUGAUAAUAUUGCGCUUGGGCUGAAAGAGACCCUCCGGAGUUUGUACACACCCCCAGUGAGCGUCGUCGAUGUUAUAUGGAUCGGGCUGCACGCCGCAACGUAUUCAUGUGCAUUGCAUUGCAUCUUUAUAUGAUACUUGGUUGUUGUUAUGAUACUGUUAUGUUGUUAGUCUGUAGCUAAGUUAUUUUGUUAGUUAUAGCUUUGCGUUGUGGUCUUUUGUGGAUUUCUUACUUUCAGAUAUUUUCUAUACUUAUUAUUCACUGAGUUGGUAGUACUCACCCCUACUCCCUACACUUUGUGUGUAGCUUCAGGUACACCGGAGGCUUAGCUGAUUCUCGUAGUCUCCAGAGAUAUUUCAGAGUAGUUGAGGUAGCUGCAUGACGUUCGCAGGACCUGGCUGCUCUUCAUUAUUUGUUCAUUUUAUUAUUAUUAUAUACUUUCCCAAAUUUGGUAUUGGUAUUCAGAUACUAUUAUUAUCACUCAGUUUUGUUUAGAGGCUCUAGACUCAUGACCCCCAAAUCAUAUGGGUGUGUUUUUGAUUUUUCAUAUUUUGCCUAUAUCACAUUAUUAAUAUUCUUGGAUUAUUAUUUUGUUAAAUUCUUGGUUUGAGACUUAAUGUCACGUUAGAAUCGAUUGUUGGUCAGGCUUACCUAGCUUUAGGGCUGGGUACCAUCACGACCGGGUUUGGGUUGUGACACUUUGCAUUUACAAUUUAAAGUUAAUUACUGAUUGUCCUGAACUUUUGCACAUGAAAUUUGAAGUUAAGGACUGAGUGUCCUAAACUUUCGAAGUUGAAAAUAUAAGUUAAUAACUGUAUUUCUUUUACGUUUGCACUUAAAAUUUAAUGUCAAGGACUAUAUUUGCUUAAAUUUAAAUUUAAAAUUUUAAGUUUAAGUCCUAAUCAUUGUUUGUUUUUCCUUAUUUUCUAGUGUUAAAAUGGAAGGCGAUUGUUUGUUUGAUUUUGACAAUUGGCGUAAUUUUCUUGUAUAUUGGAAAGGAGAUUUUCUAUAUAAGGAAAAGACAUUCAAGGUAUUUGACCACGAUAUUAAGUUUAGUCGUGAUGCAUUCCAUAUUAUUACUGGUUUGAAGGUUUAUUCGUCGCUUGACAUGAAAGGUUCAAAUGAGAAAGAGAAUAGGCUUUUAAGAGUCUAUUUCCCUGGAAAUGACAAAAUUGAGUUGGCUGAGUCGCUUGACAUGAAAGGUUUAAAUGAGAAAGAUAAUAGGCUUUUAAGAGUCUAUUUCCCUUGAAAGGACAAGAUUGAGUUGACUGAUUUGUACAGUUUUAUUUCUAGUCGUCCACACGAUACAACUUCAUCAUUUGUUGGCAAUGAUGAUGAUGCUUUGAAGUUGGCAAUACUCUAUUUUAUUGAGUCAGUUUUGAUAGGCAAGAGGAAAAAUAGGUAUGUGUCGGAUCAAAUAAUGAAAAUUGUUGACGAUGAUGCACUUUUCACUCCCUUCAGCUGGGGCUCUCUUGCUUAUGAGACGCUAUUAAAAUCGUUGAAGAGUUGCUUGAAAUCAAAUGAGAAUGAUGUUGAGAAGGAGAAAGAGAAAGAAAAUGAUAUUGAUAGCAAUACUUUAGUUAGGUUUCCUUUUGUGUUUUGUGUCUAGAUUAUGGAAGUACUUCCUAUAUUCCAAGAUAUUGGUAGCUACACUUUAGUUGGCUUUCCUUUUGAUUUUGUGUCUUGAUUAUGGAAGUAGUUCCUAUUUUCCAAGAGAAACAAUUUGUGAACUUCAAAGAAGCUGGUUCUCCCUGAAUGCUAUGUUAUUCUGAAAUGAAGUCUCCACAACUUGAUGCUCUUUGUAGAAAGUAUUUUCAUAAUGAAAAAGUAAGUUAAUAUAAUUACUAUCUCUUUUUUUGUUUAUUUGAUUUAGUUAUGUAUACUUAUGUUUAGUUUUUCUUAUAUAAUUGCUGUUUAAGUUGAUUGAGGUAUCACCCUUUGUUCCCGUGGAAGAAGAAGAUACAGUGCCUCUUUGUGUGGAGGAGCCAGUUCCACAAGAUUAAGGCUCAAGGUCUUCUUCCUCACAAUUUGACGAAGGCGUACUUAAGGAAACUGUUAGAGUAUGUGUUUAUGCCUUUGAAUAGUAUUAGUUUUUUAUUUUAUUGUUUCUUUCUUACAAACACCCUUUUUAAAAAAAAUAUGUUUUUUUGAUUCAGAGAUUAUCAGAGAGUUUUAAGAAGGAUUUGCAAGCGAAAGUUACCAGAGUUAAUAAAAAAAUUGCUUUAUCAGAAAAAAUGAUUGAGAAUGAAAUCAAGGUAAUUUCAGUUAGUCCAACUUUAGGAUUUUGUGUCCUUAAAUUUUGAACUUGGAAUUGAAAGAUAAGGACUUCUUGUCCUUAACUUUUUAGUCCAACUUUAGGAUUUUGUGUCCUUAAAUUUUGAACUUGGAAUUGAAAGAUAAGGACCUUUUGUCCUUAACUUUUGAAUUUGAAAUGAAACUUAAGGACAUCCUGUCCUUGAGUUUUGAACUUGUAAUUCAAAGUUUAAGACUGCAUGUCCUUAAGUUUUGAAUUUGGAGUUCAAACUUAAUGAUUGCCUGUCCUUAAUUUUUGAACUUGUAAUUCAGAGUUAAGGACUGCCCAUCCUUAAGUUUGGAAUUUGGAGUUCAAACUUAAGGACUGCAUGUCCUUAAGUUUUGAACUUGUAAUUCAAAGAUAAGGACUGCCUGCCCUUAAGUUUGAAUUUGAAGUUCAAAACUUAAGGACAGACAGUCCUUAAGUGUGAACUUGCAUGUCCUUAAGUUUUGAACUUAGAAUUCAAACUUAAGAACUGACUGUCCUUAAGUUUUGAAUUUUGAAUUCAAAGUAAAGGCCUACCUGUCCUUAAACUUUUUUAUUUGGAGUUCAAACUUAAGGACUGUCUGUCCUUAAGUUUUGAACUUGUAGUUCAAAGUUAAGGACUGCCUGUCCUUAAGUUUUGAAUUUGGAAUUAAAGGUUUGCCUGUCCUUAAGUUUUGUAUUUGGAGUUCAAACUUAAGGACUGCCUGUCCUUAAGUUUUGAACUUGUAAUUCAAAGUUAAGGACUGUCUGUCCUUAAGUUGAAUUCCAUGUUCAAAACUUAAGGACAAGCAGUUCUUAAGUUUGAACUUGCCUGUCCUUAAGUUUUGAACUUGGAAUUCAAACUUAAGGACUACAUGUCCUUAAGUUUUGAAUUUGGAAUUAAAGGUUUGCCUGUCCUUAAGUUUUGUAUUUGGAGUUCAAACUUAAGGACUGCCUGUCCUUAAGUUUUGAACUUGUAAUUCAAAGUUAAGGACUGUCUGUCCUUAAGUUUUGAAUUUGGAGUUCAAACUUAAGGACUGCCUGUCCUUAUGUUUUGAACUUGUAAUUCAAAGACAAGGACUGCAUGUCCUUAAGUUUGAAUUCCAAGUUCAAAACUUAAGGACAAGCAGUCCUUAAGUUUGAAUUUGCAUGUUCUUAUGUUUUGAACUUGGAAUUCAAACUUAAUGACUGCCUGUCCUUAAGUUUUAAACCUGUCGUUCUCUUUGUAACUUAGUUGCUUUCUCAGGAUUUAAAUAAAACUCUAGGAUCAAAGCUUGAUAAUUUGAUGAACAUUUUUGUGAACGCUGAUCAGAUGAACACAGAUAGAGUAUCUGGUGUUCCAAUAAGAAAAGAUGGAGUUGAUGAUCAUUGUUGUGAUACUGAGCCUACUCGUAUAUUCAACCAAGAUGCAAGUGGUGUUGAACGUGACCAUAUGGAUGUGCAUUUAGAGGGUCAAUAUGAAAGAGAAUUUAGAGAUGCACAUUUAAAUGAUUAAACUGAAAAUGUUACUGAUAUUGGGAAAGGUUAGAUAUAUGUUUUAUUUUUUUUCCAUUGAAAUGUAUAUUCAAUAGAUUAAUACAUAUAAACUAUGCAUGUGCAUGCAGAAGUUGAAGAUUUAGGAGAUUGUCAAGAGCAGGAGAAUCAACAAGAUAAAAGAGUAAUGUAGAAAAUUUGUAAAGUUUGUGGAUUGCAAUAACAAGAGGAUUUAAGAAGUCCAUUGGGGACAAGUGUCAACGAGAUUGUAUGCAAAUGCUUAGAAGGAACGUAUGAUCUCUCUACACCGCUGUCAUACAAAGAAAAUUUUGGAGUUUAAACUUGUGCCAGUCAAGGUUGGGUAGAAUUUUCAUUAUAUAUUUUAUUUUUAUUUUAGUGAAAUAAAAUCAUAAGUCUUUUGGGAAUGUCUUCAAAAAAUUUGAUAUACAGUGGCAAAGAUCACCACACCAAACUUGAUCACAGCUCGACAAAAAACACAAGUCUUUUGGGAAUGUCUUCAACAAAUUUGAUAUACAAUGACAAAGAUCACCAUACCAAACUGGAUCGUACGUGUUUUUAUUUGUUAUAUUAUUUAUAUGUACUUAAUAUUUAUUGUUUAAUUCACUGCAUAUCUUACAUUUCUUUUAGGACUAAUUGUGGUGCAUUACUGGUCAAAUUUGCCGAGUUGCUGAUGAUUGGAAAGGACGUGCAACAAUUCCAACCCGAAGACAUAAAAGACUUUCGAAAAGAACUUGCUGCAAAUCUUUGGGCACAUGGUGAAUGGAAGAGAAAAUUCUGGUUAUGAUAUUCCACCAGAAAAUGUUGGUGAUGAUUAUGAGAGUGAAAAUGAAACAUUCUGUCCAAAGAAGUUGUAUAGAAAUUGCGGUGUUGUUUUGUAUAAAAUUACUGUAAAGCUGACAUAUGAAUUUUGCCAAUUUAGGAUAGUUCAGAAAUAUUCUGUAAAUUUGUGAAAUGGCACUUAUAUUUUGUUUUGUUGGCAUAGUGUAAUUUUUUGUAACAGUUAUGCAAAAUUACAAUUUAAAAGUUAUGUCAAGGUAUUUUGUUAUUUAUUUCGUUAUUUAUCUCAACUGUGGAUUUGUCCAUUGACUUUGUUAGUAUUUUUUCAUGACUAAGUUUAAGUGAACUUCAAAUUCAAAGUUAAGGACUAAAUGUCCUUAAAUUUUGAACUUGAAAUUCAAAGUUAAGGACCGGCAUUCCUUAAGUUUUUAACAUGGGACUAUAACUUAUGCACAUCAUGUCCUUAACUUUUGAACUUGAAAUUCAGAGUUAAGGACAGAAAGUCCUUAAGUUUUUAACAGUUGCAUAAAUUAAGGACAUCAUGUCCUUAACUUUUGAACUUGAAAUUCAAAAUUAAGGACUCAUGUAGUUAAUGUCAAACAGUCCUCAAGUUUUCAACAUGGGACUAUAACUUAAGGACCUCAUGUCCUUAACUUUUGAACUUAAAAUUCAAAGUUAAGGACAUACAGUCCUUAAGUUUUUAACAUGGGAAUAUAACUUAAGGACCCCCUGUCCUUAACUUUUGAACUUGAAAUUCAAAGUUAAGAACCGACAAUCCUUAGGUUUUUAACAUGGGAAUAUUACUUAAGGACCUCAUGUCCUUAACUUUUGAACUUGAAAUUUAAAAUUAAGGACUCAUGUAGUUAAUGACAAAUAGUUCUCAAGUUUUCAACAUGGGACUAUAAGUUAAGGACCUCAUGUCCUUAACUUUUGAACUUGAAAUUCAAAGUUAAGGACAGACAAUCCUUAAGUUUUUAACAGUUGUAUAACUUAAGGGUCCUUAACUUUUGAACUUGAAAUUCAAAGUUAAGGACAGACAGUCCUUAUGUUUUUAACAUGGGAAUAUAACUUAAGGACCUCAUGUCCUUAACUUUUGAACUUGAAAUUCAAACUUAAGGACAAACACUCUAUAAGUUUUUAACAGUUCUAUAACUUAAGGACCUCAUGUCCUUAACUUUUGAACUUGAAAUUCAAAGUUAAGGACAGACAGUCCUUAAGUUUUCGAAAUUGAAAGUUUAGCUUACUGACUCAUGUUCGUAACUUUUAAUUAUUGAACUCAAAAGAAAUGAAAAGAACGUAACAAGAUAUAAAUAUUGUAAAUCCAGGAAUCUGCUCAAAUUAGAAUAAUAAUGAAUACAAUCUAUAGCAAAAACUUAAGAGAGUCAAUAAACAUAAUUUUAUAUAUCUACUCUUGUCUAUGCUUCCUUGAAAAUGGAUGGAGAGCCGGAGAAUAUAUACAAGUCGUUCUAUUAUGACCAAUCCUUCUGCAACGACCACAUUUGAAUGUUAUUUUUUAUGGCUCGGUAGCAUGAAUAUGCCUUUUCGUUUGCCUUUUACCUGGUGGCACUUUGAAAUCUGGCCAAAAACUUAAAAGAGUCGAUAAACAUAAGUGUAUAUAUUUACUCUUCUCUAUGCUUUCUUGAAAAUGGAUGGAGUGUCGAAGAAUAUAUGCACGUUGUUCUAUUAUGACCAAUUCUUCUGCAACGACCACAUUUGAAUGUUAUUUUUGAUGGCUCGNNNNNNNNNNNNNNNNNNNNNNNNNNNNNNNNNNNNNNNNNNNNNNNNNNNNNNNNNNNNNNNNNNNNNNNNNNNNNNNNNNNNNNNNNNNNNNNNNNNNNNNNNNNNNNNNNNNNNNNNNNNNNNNNNNNNNNNNNNCCACAUUUGAAUGUUAUUUUUGAUGGCUCGGUAGCAGGAAUAUGCCUUUUCUUUUGCCUUCUACCUGGUGGCACUUUGAAAUCUGGAGGUUUAACAAUUUUUGACUUAACACUCUCUGGUACAAUCCAAGAAUCAGUAUGUCCUACAGGAUAUAUUUGUCUUUCAUAUGUUUUCAGCCAAUAUUCCUUUAAGUACCAGUGCGAACAAAAGUCGGACUUCUUGAUGUUUCUCUUCUCAAUAGCUGCAAUUGCAUGUAUGCAUGAUGAUUCAUCAAGUUGAAAUUGAAAACAAGUUGCAUCGAAAGUUAUUCCUUCUUUUUCAACUAUAGAACGCCAUGAAUAAACAGGGAAGACCUUCAAUGUUGAAAAAUUAUAAGUGGGUACAUUAUGUUAAAAAAUAUUAAAAUUAUAAUAUAAACAUAGAACAUAAAACUUACGUUCAAAGUAAAUGCUAAAUAUAUUCUUUUCUUCAAUUCCUCCUCUACCCAACAAGAAACAUCUUAAAAUAUUCCUUCUUCUUUAUUUCUUCUUUCAUAAAACCAAUGUUGUACCUUCACUUGAAUGAAAUCCAUCAUUCUUAGUAUAGGCAUCUCCCUUGCUUCUAACAGCACUGAAUUCAUCGACUCAACUAUGUUUGUUGUGAGCAUGUCAUAUCUUCGUCGUGGACUACAAGAACGUGCUCAUCUUUCCGGUGGUUCUUCCAUCAAGUAUUCAUAAGUUUUCUUAUCUACAUUUGCAAUAUUUGACAUGUAUAGAUCAAAUUCUUUACGUUUGUAAACUCUUGCAGCACUUUGGAAAAGUUUUAUGACCUCAUUUUUCACUUUUCUUCGCUUUAGGUUCUGCUCCAAAUGAUAGAUACAAAUCCCAUGAUGGCUUUCAGGAUAUACCUUUGAAAAGCCAUUUGCAAUAGCUUGAUGCCUUUCUGAUAAAAAAAUCAAAUUCUCACGGCUCCCAAUUGCAUUGCGAAGCUGGCUAAAGUACCCCUCAUAAGAAUUGUUGUUUUCAAAUUCUUCUAUUCCAAAGGCUAAUGGGGAAAUUUGGUUAUUUGCAUCUUUUGAAACUGAAAUCAUUAAAACACCACGAUAUUUUGACUUCAAAAAAGUUGCAUCAACGGCAAUUACUAGUCUACAACGAUUCCAACCAUCUAUCGAUGAUCCAUAUGCGCAAAACAUAUAAUAUCAACGACAAUUAGUGGUCUACAAUGAUUCCAACCAGCUAUUGAUGAUCCAUAUGCGUAAAACAUAUAAAGAAACUGAAAAUACAAUAUAAAACAAAGUUAAAAUACCUGAAGUUUAAGACAGUCAGUCAUUAACUUACAUUUACAAGUUGUAAAGUUAAGGACACCAUGUCCUUAACUUUUAUUUCAAAGUUCAAAACUUAAGGAGUGGAAGUCCUUAACUUUUAAUUACAAGUUCAAAACUUAAGGAUAGAUAGUCCUCAACUUCUGGUUACAACUCAAAAGUAAACAAUGCUAAAGACAUCAUGUAUUAAAUUGUUUACCUGUUGUUGUCGUCGUCUAUCUUUAUGUUAGUAUACGUUCUCGGGUUCUUAAUUUUCAUCAUAUACAAAUAUGAACACAAUAAUUCAUAAUUUUCUUCGGGACUUUCUCUUAUUAAAGCGAAAGCAUGUUGUAUAGCACGCCACGCCUUGUGAUAUCCAAUGUCUAGUCUAUGCAAUUUUGCAUUUCUGUCAUGACAAAAUCUGGUGUAACUUUAAAUCUUAGGUGCCGAAGAUUAUCGAUAAUGUAACUACUAAUCAACUUUGAAGUAGCAUGCCUUUGAUCUUCUUUCCUUAUGUUAACAGAGCACUCAUGCUUUUUCUCAAGCUUUACUAUCUUGAAUAAUGUUGAAUCUUUAAUUCUGAAAGCACGCAUACACGAACAACACCUAUCAUUAUUGCAUGUCAACGAAUAUCUUGUUGAGCUUGAUCUAACAACUUUGAAUUCAAACUGUCCUUUGAUUGCUAUAUUGGAAAAACAGUUAAUAAUGCUCUUCUUCUUGUCAAAUACUGAUCCGACUUUUAUUUCAUCCAAAGAAGCAUUUUCUCUUAAUAUCGUAGUUGGGGAUUCUUUUUAUUUCAAAUUUGAUCUUCUUCUAGUUAUUUGAGUGCAGGUUUUAUCAGCAACUUCUUCGAUUACCGGUGUACUCUCUAAGACUUGAAUACCUAAAGCUGAUUCUUUUGUUUCAAAUUUGAUCUUCGUCUAAUUAUUUGAGUGCAGGUUUUGUCAGCAACUUUUUCUAUUACCGGUGCACUCUCUAAGACUUGAAUUCCCAAAGCUUGUUCGUUGUCAAUCUCUAUAAUGCUUUGUCCUUCUACUUGAAUAGAAUCAAAUGUUUGAUGCACGUCUUCAUUUACUGGUUGAGCUUCAACCAUAUCUACUUCAACUAUCUAUUGGCAUUGCUUUGGAUUGUCAUGUUGAGUUUUUGUGUUGGCAUCUUCAUUGCUUGUUGAUGCAAAAACUCUUUUAGAAAUAUCAACUAUGAAACGAUAGUUUUUGAAGAGUGAAUGAGUUUUUAGCAACUCUAUACAUGUGUGAAGAUCCAAAUCAUUGGACACAAGAAUUCCUUUGCUUGUUCCAAGGUUGAUAUCAAACCAAUUUUUAGCAACUCUAUACAUGUGUGAAAAUCUAAAUCUUUGGAUACAAGCAUUCCUUUGCUUGUUCCAAGAUUGAUAUCAAACCACAUCACUGUUUCAAACUUUUCUCUAUUCAAUUCAAUAAGCUCAAAAAUCUAUUUAACGAAAUCUUCAAACUGAAUUGACUCAGGUGCUAGGAAAAGCUUUUUUUGAUAAUCUAAAUAUUUAUAGUUUUCAGUCCAUCUACCAUUAAAAGCAACUAUUAGGCAUAUUAUUUCCAUCCUGCAAGUCAACAGUAUGAGAAACAAAGAAUAUACGUUAUAAAGCAAUCCUUGUAUAAUUAAGAACAAGUAAAGUGCAAGUGCAAGACCAAGAUAAGACAUUGUUCUCUUAUUAACCAUCUUCUCACCUUGCCACGUUUCAUCUCAUAUUAACUAUAAGUUUUCUCAUUUCUUAUCUAUCAGACUGCCGACUCCCAAAAAUUGGUAUUCCCUUGUUCCUAAAGCACUCAUGUGCAACUACCGUUCUCUGUUUCCUGUAUAUAUACUGUAACACCCAAAUUUUACUUUAGCAAAACAUGAAAAUAUUAGUUAUAUACAUUAUAGAAAUAAAAUCAACUUCAGGUUGGCAAGAAAAGGGCAAAAUCGGUUGGUUUUUAAAAAUGUUUUUUUUUCAAUUUUUUUUAUGAAACCGACUAACUUCUGAGAUUUUUUUGUGCAAAAUGUGAGAAAUUAUUUUUGCGUCCCACCAAAUUUAUUUUUUAAGGAAUCAACAAAAUUUGGUCGGUUUUUUAUUUAAAAUAAAUUUGAAUCAAUAUUUCAAAAAAUCGACCGACAUCGGUCACUCAUUUUAAAAAAACUAACUGAUUUCGAACGGUAAUUUUAUUUUCUUAAUUAAACUGAUCGACAGUAGUAAGUUAUUUUCGCGCGAAAAUGCAAAGAGUACAAAUGCAAUAAAGAAGUCGUAAACCAAAAUGUAUAUAUGGUCUGAUGGUAUAAUAGUAUCCUGCCAUGUUACAAACCCCAAAAAAUUUCGACCGACUUUGGUUGAUUUUUCCGGCAGAUUUGUUUUUUGGUCAUUUGGGAAAUUUAAUUAACCAAACAAAGUCAGUCGGAAAUUGCGUUCGACUUCGGUCACUAUUUAUUACCGACCAGCCUUAUUUCGAUGGAUAGAUUAAAGUCUGGGUAGAAAAUCGAUCGGUUUUCCUAGUUUUCAACCGAUUUCGGUCAAUAUUCCUAAAAGUUAUUUAGCAGGGUUCUAAUAUGAUAUAUAAAGAAGCAAGUUUUAGAUCCGAAUAAUGAGUUUUAAAGUUGUGCGGAUCCAGAUCGACUUACGUAAAUUAUGGCCUAAAGAACAAUCCAGUGCAUUAAGUUUUUGCUGUGCGCGGGGUCCAGGGGGCAGAUCACAAGGGUGUGUUAUAUGCAGUCUUACCAUGUAUUUCGACAAGAGACUGUUUCCGUGGCUCAUGACCUUUUGAUCACAUGGCAGCAAAUUAGCAUUAUGAUAAUCCAUUUAUGCUCCAAAUCCUAUAAUUUUCAGGACCCUACCAAAAAUCCUAUAAAUAGCUAGAAGACAUAUUCCUCGUAACAUUUAUUCUCUACCAAUGCUAACAAUUCGUUCUUGUUAAUUAAAGGCCAUAUACAACAACAACAAUCCAGUAUAAUCUCACUUAGUGGGGUCUGGGGAGGGUAGUAUGUACGCAANNNNNNNNNNNNNNNNNNNNNNNNNNNNNNNNNNNNNNNNNNNNNNNNNNNNNNNNNNNNGGGAGGGUAGUAUGUACGCAGACCUUACCCCUACCCUGGGGUAGAGAGGCUGUUUCCAAAUAGACCCCCGGCAACCUUCCCUCCAAGAACUUCCCACCUUACUCUUGGGAAGACUCGAACUCACAAUCUCUCGGUUGAAAGUGGGGGUUGCUUACCAUCAGAGCAACCC